rnacentral:lncRNA from 1 species
CUCAAUAUCAUCCUCAUUAGCUUAAUAUAUCAACCUAAUCCUUGGAUCAAUAUCUAUAAGAUCCCCUUCUUCCCCAUCUUCACUCUCAAUUUCCACUGCCUCAACCACCCUUUCUGGUGCAAGGGUCCAUUGCUUACCCAAUGCAAAUCUUACUGGUUCUAUUUCAAGAUCAAGAAUAUUCCAACUCCUUAUAAGAUCUACCAGCAAUAUACCUAACUAGUCUAAUGAUUAAAGAAUACAACACCUUCAGAAUCUCAAAACAAGGAAAAAGACUAAUUGUCUUUGUCAACCUUUUCAAGAAUCUAAAAUCUGUAUAAAGGGUGUCACCAAAACUAAUUGUCUUUUUCAAACUAAAGCUUUUUCAAGAAUUCAAAAUCUGUACAAACGGUGUCACCAAAACUUUUUAUUUUUUCAAACUAACGCUUUUCAAGAAUCCAAAAUCUGCAUAAAGGGUGUCACCAAAACUUUUUAUUUUUUCCUAACUAAAGCUUUUUCAAGAAUUCAAAGAUGGCAAAAGGGUAAUCUUGAAACUUACUUUUUCUACCCAAUUUUGGAUCAAAUGUGAACAAAAAUUGAAAAAGAAACGUGUGUUAUGUAAACCAGAAGACACGGAAACUUAUAACAGCAACAAGAUGGAUUGUCUGAAAAGCCACAACUAAAAGUUUAGAUUAGAACAAAAAUGAUCCAAAAAAAAGGAUGAAAAUGAAAGGAGAGAGAAAGAUGAAAAGGUUUAGAGAGAAGAAGAGAGGGGAAGAUGAAAAGAUUUAGGGAGAAGAGGAGAGAGGAAGAUGAAAAUGAAAGGAUGAAAGAGAUUUUUUGAUUUGUUUAGAAAUAAAGAAUAUCAGCGUGGGUCCAGGUGCGUGGAAUACACAUAUGUAUUAUUACUUGAUUUAUGUUGACAGGUCAACAACUGGGAGUAAUAAAUUCGGUAUAAAAAAAUUAGGGGGGUUAAUAGGUCACUUUUAAAGGUUGAGUGUGUAGUUGGGAUUUCGACUAAAGGUUUGGGGGGUAAUAGACCAUUUUCUCACUAUAAUUUUGAAAAAAACUUUAUCACUAGGAGUGGUCUUUUUUAGAUUUUUAAAAUUUACCUAAGAACCGAAUUUUGAAAAAUAAUUAACAUUACUCAUCUUUUGUCAUUUUAUAAUUUUUAUAAAAAUUAAGCAUGAAAAAUAAUCUUACUUAUUUAUAGUUCUAAAUGGUAGGAAUUUUAGCUAAUUCAACUAAGAAAGUAUCCAACAAUUAUAGUUUUAAAAAGAGAAAAGUCAUCAUUUCACAUCUGAACUUGUCUUCACAAUUUACUUUAACACUUUAACUUUACGUGUAAUUAUUUACCCCCUAAAUAACUUUCAAGUGAAUUAAAUACAACCUUAAAAUCACAAUCACAAUCUCAAAGCGGAGAGUAUCAUGCCAUUGCUACGUAAGAAAUUACUAUUUUUUUCAUUUUUAAAAAGUAAUGCUAUAUAUAUAUAUAUAUAUAUAUAUAUAUAAAUAAUUUCUCACCCCACCCCCUCAUUUUCUUUCUNNNNNNNNNNNNNNNNNNNNNNNNNNNNNNNNNNNNNNNNNNNNNNNNNNNNNNNNNNNNNNNNNNNNNNNNNNNNNNNNNNNNNNNNNNNNNNNNNNNNNNNNNNNNNNNNNNNNNNNNNNNNNNNNNNNNNNNNNNNNNNNNNNNNNNNNNNNNNNNNNNNNNNNNNNNNNNNNNNNUCCCUCCCAUCUUUCAAUUUCUUUUUCAUUUUCCCCAUUCACACCACCAUAGAAUAACCAUGAAGACGCUGAUUUAAGAAUUUUCCUCCAUUAACACACUAUUUCAACCUUCAAUUCUAACUCCCUUAACGUUUUCAACAGUCAAAUCCACCCUUGAAAAUGAAAACAAUUAUCAUUUUCAGUUUUUAGAAAUAAAAUAUUAAUAAUUUUCUUUGUUACAAGUGACAUAAAUAAAGAAUAGAAAAGGUGCAAUGGGUUCUAAAAAUAAAAGUUAUAAAAAUUUCUCCUGGUUUUGUUGUUCUUCGAACUUGAUCAGUGAAGCAAUUCUAAAACAAAAUGUAUGCUUAGUUAGAAAUGUUGAUCCUACCAAAUCUUUAUGGGCAAAGUAGCAUAGGCUUAAGUUAUCAUUAAAAUGGUAUAAAGCGUUGUAAAAGAGAAUUGAAAGCAACAAAUUCAACCGAACUUAAGUAAAGAAGUUGGUGAUUUCUCCGGCGAAAUCAAAUAGAACUCUAAAUUAAUGGGUGAAGAAAAUGGGUGUUGUUGUUCGAUGAUGUACCGGAAAAGAAAAAUAUGGGGUACGGGGUGGGGUGGGGGUGAGAGGUGAAGGGGGUGGGGAUAUUGAAGAAGAAAAGAGUGAUUUUUUAUUAUAUAUAUAUAUUUAUAAAAUAAAAGUGGGACCAUCUCAUUUUUUUAAAUAACAUAUGCUCUUUUUAAAAAAAAAAAAAAAAAAUCACGUCAGCAUUAGGGGUAAUACUAAUUCACUUUAAACUUUAAAUAAACAUGUGUUAAGUUAAAAUGCUAAAGUAAGUAGUGAAAACAAGUUCAGUAGUGAAAUGAUAUCUUUUCUCUUUUAAAAAAGAGAUAAUGCAUCAAAAAAACCCUAAACUUGCCACUCCAACUUACUUUGGCACUUAAACUUAAUACGUGUUUAUUUACCCCCUUAACUUCUUUCAAGUGUAUUAAAUUCACUCCUUAUGCUAAUGUGACAUUUAAAAAAAAAAAACGCGUGAAUUUUUUUUCUUUUUUUUUAAAAGCCUACUAAUAUAUAUAAUAAAAAAAGAAAAAAAACUCCUCUUUUUCUUCUAACCCCCACCCCCAUCCCACCCCACCCAACUUCUCCUCUAAACCCGUCAACCCCGACCACCAAAUCCACCAUCAGUCCACCACCACCACCCCCAAACCCUAACCCCAAUUACUCCUCCAAUUACCAAAUUUGUUACUCCCACCUCCAAUUUCUCUUCCUUCAACACCUUAGAUCAAUAAAAAAAAUGAAAUUGAAUUUGAAAAUUAAAAAAUUAACAUGAUUUGAAUGUUUGGUUGUUGAUUUUAGGAACUUUGAUGUUGAUUUUGACUGAAUUUAUAAGGUGGGUUGAAUUUUUAGUCACUAAUUUAUGAUUUUUUUUUUAUGAAUGGAGAAAUUGGUGAUGAUGGAUAUAUAUAUUUUGUGGUGGUGGUGCGGUGAUGUGGUGGUGUGGUUGGUGGUAUAUAUAUAUAUAUAUAUAUAUAUAUAUAUAUAUAUAUAUAUAUAUAUAUAUAUAUAUAUAUUCUAUGUUUGGUGGAGGACGGUGGGGGGAGUGAUGGUGUGGUGGUGCAGUGGUAAUUGAAUUUUUUCAAGUGGGUUGAGUUUUUCGCCGGAAAAUAUGGCAGGUGUGGUUGUUUGGGGGUGGAUGGAGGUGGAUGGGGUGAUGUUUAGGUGUGGCAGAGUAGGGGUGGACGGGGUGGGGUUUAGGGGUAUAUAAAUUAUUAAAAGAUAUUUUAUUUAAAAUGGUGGGGUGGGGUAUUUUUUAAUUUAAAAUAUUUUAUAUAUAUUUAAAAGUAUGUAUAUAUAUAUAAAUUAUUAAAAGAUAUUUUAUUUACGUGGCGCUGACGUGUCAUCGAGUGUGAUGCACUCUCCGUAGUGAGAGUGGAGUUGUAUUUUUAAGGUGUUAUAACUCACUUUAAAAAGAUUUAGGGGGUAAAUAAUUAUCCGUAAAGUUUAAGUGUUAAAGUAAGUUGUCGGGAUAAGUUCGGAGAAGUUUUGAUGUAUUAUCUCUUUACAAAAAUAUUAAAAUCAUAUCUAAAUAAGGAAAGGAUUAAGAAAGGGAGUAAAGGAACAUGACAAUUAAUUAUUAUAAAUAUAAUAUUACUUAUAUAAAUUUUUUAGUCCAAAAUUAAUAGCAUAAACAAUAAUAAUAAUAACAUUCUUUUUCCAACAAAAUGAAAAGGCAUUAUUUUUUCAGAUUUGCGUUCCCUCUUCAGUGUUGCGUCUCUAAUGCAUCAGAGGGUUUUGUGCUUCUUCAUCCACAACUAAUCUCGAAAACACUGCCAAAAUAAUCUAGCACAUGGCAUAAUAAUUUAGAAAAAUACAACCAAAACAAUAAGAAUAACCAUGCAAAUGCAAUCCCUCCUCUCUAUCAUCUUUGAAUUAAAAUCAAUAUUUUAUUAAGUAAUAUAUCAAAUGUUCGUAUUUUACACACACAUAUAUACAAUAAUCUAAAAAGAGAGUUUAGGAGAAGAUUGAAGGUGCAGUCUAACAACUCCUUAAAAGGACUACUAUAUGAUAACCAAGAUUGAUUUUCAUGUCAGAUUUUUAUUUUUCUCAAAAAGUUGGUAGGCCAUAUAAUCGUAUAUAAAAUUUAAUCAAAAUUUAACUUUUAUACUAUUACUUGAUUAAAAGAGUUUUCAUUCUAACCAUAUAUAUCAUUAUAUUUUAGGAUUAAAAGAAUCCUAAUUCUAACCAUAUAUAUCUUUGUAUUUUAGAGCCUUAGUUAUUAGCUCUCUUACCAUAUAUUUUUCUUUUAUCAUAUACUUUAGAUUUUCUUAAUUAUAAAUAUUAAAGAUAAUUAUUUAAUAAUUUAAGAAAAUAAGUGAAAAAGUUAUUUUGUCUAUUGCCAUAUAAUCUUAUGUAAAAUUUAACCAAAAUUUAGCUUUUAUACUAUCAGUUGAUUAAAAGAGUUCUAAUUCUAACUGUAUCAUUGUAUUUUAGGAUUGAAAGAAUUCUAAUUCUAAUCAUAUAUAAUUUAGCUUUUAUACUAUCAAUUGAUUAAAAGAAUUCUAAUUCUAAUCAUAUAUAUCAUUGUAUUUUAGGAUUAAAAGAAUCCUAAUUCUAACCAGAUAUAUUUGUUUGUACUUUAGGACUCCUUAGUUAUUAGUUCUCUUGCCAUAUACCUCCGAAUUUGUCUGCCCAAUUUACUUUAGCACUUAAACUAACCUUCUAUUUAUUUAUCCCUUUAACAUCUUUAAAGUAAAUUAAUUUCACCCCUUAAUAUAUAAUAUCACUCUCAUAAUGCAGAGUGCAUCACACUCGCUGACACAUCAGUGCCACAUCACCGCCACGUCGAAUCCACGUAAAUAAAGUAUUUUUUAAAUAUUAUAUAUAUAUAUAUAUUUUUAAAUAUACAUAAAAUAUUUUAAAAAUAACCCCACACCCAUUUUCCAUCUUCUUCAUAACCCCCCUCCCCUCCCCCCCGCCUCCCGCCGCCACCCCACCUNNNNNNNNNNNNNNNNNNNNNNNNNNNNNNNNNNNNNNNNNNNNNNNNNNUUUUGGUGAAUUUUUAAAGAAAGAUAUAAUUACCACUAUCGAAAAAUACCAUAAAAUAGUGAUAAAAAACUCAACCCACCUGAUAAAUUCGAUCAAAUCAACAUCAAAUUCUUUAAAAUCAACAACCAAACUAUGCAGAUUUUUUAAUUUUCUAAUUCAAUUUCUUUCUUUUUUAUUGAUCUAACGGGUUGAAGGAGGAGAAAUUUGAGGGGGGGAGCAGCUUUGGUAAUUGAAGGAGAAACUGGGGUUAGGGUUGCGGGUAGGGUUGACUAGUGGUGGUGGAUAUGGCAGUUGAAGGGAGGAGUGGGGUGGGGGUGUUGGCGGGUGGGAUGGGUGAAGAAGAAGGAGGAUUUUUUUCUUCUUUUUCUAUAUAUAUAUAUAUAUAUAUUAGUAGGCUUUUAAAAUAAAAAAUAAAAAAAUUUCACGCAUUAAAAAAAAAAGUCACAUCAACAUUAGGGUUGAAAUUAAUCCACUUUAAAGAUGUUAAGGGGGAAUAUAAAUAAAAGGUUGGUUUAAGUGUUAAAGUAAGCUGGGCAGACAAGUUGGGGGGGUGGGGGAUGGAUUUUCUUUAUAUUUUUCUUAAUUAUAAAUAUCAAAGAUAAUUAUUUAAUAAUUUAAGAAAAUAAGUAAAAAGACUUUUGUUUAUAGCAGAGAUUUUAAACAAAGGACAAAAAAUUCAAAUCAUUUUUUAAAAAAUCUUUAUACAUUUAAUAUAUUAUAGAUUAUAGAUUAAUUAGGGACGAUAUAAUAAAAUUAUGAUUGAAUCAGUCAUAAAUAUCAAUUCAACUUUUUAUUAAAUAUUAUAAACUUUUAAUACAUGAAUGACAUAUAAUGGCCACGGUUUCGUGGGAGGGAUAGGGGCCCGAAUGUGUUUUGGGUGGUAAGUCAAUCGGGGGCUCCCAGCCAGGCAAAGGAAAGGGGAAGUGUGGUCCAGUGGGGCCAUUUAGGUGGUCAAACGGGCGGAACGAUGCGAAUGAAUCAUUUUCGAACCAAAUCGAUGUGCUAUAGCCCACAUUUCUGUGGAUGGGCUAGGAACUCGGGCGUGUUUUGGACCGAAAAUCGAUUGGGGGAUCCCAGGCAGGCUGAGAGCGGGGGAGUGUGGGCCAGCGGGGUCUGUAAGGCCAUUUGUAUGGUCAAACAGGCGAAACGGCGCGAAUGGGCCAUUUUCGGGCUAAAUCGGUGUGUUGUAGACCACAAUUUCAUGGGUGAGCCCGGGGCUUGGGUGUGUUUUGGAUAGAAAAUCGAUCGGGGGCACCCAGGCAAGCUGAGGAGCAGGGGAGUGUUGGUCAGCGGGGUCGGUGAGGCCGUUUGGGUGGUCAAAUGGGCAAAACAGUGCGAACACGCUAUUUUUGGGUCAAAUCUGUCUGCUAUAUCCCACAGUUUCAUGAGUGGGCCCGAGGCUCGAGCAUAUUUUGAGAUGAAAAUUGACCUAGGGCUUUCAGGCAAGCUAAGGGGCGGGGAAGUAUAGGUCAGUGGGGUCGGUGGAGCCAUUUGGAUGGUCAAAUACGCAAAACAGCGUGAACGGGCCGUAUUUGAGCCAAAUCGAUGUGCUAUAGCCCACGAUGUCGUGGGUGGGCUCGGGGCCCGAGCGUAUUUUGGACCGAAAAUCUACUGGGCACCUAGGCAGGUCGAGGAGCAAGGCAUCUAGGAUAACGGAGUCGGUGGGGUAGUUUGGAUGGUCAAACGAGUGGAAUGGUGCGAAUGAGCCUUUUUGGGCCAACUCGGUAUGCUAUAGCCCACAAUUUUGUGGGCAGGAUCGGGCGUAUUUUGGGUCAAAAAUCGACCGUGGGCGCCCAAGUAGACUGAGGAGCGGGAGAGUCUGGGUUAGUGGGGUCGGCAGGACUAUUUGGGUGGUCAAACAGAUGAAACGGUGUGAAUAGGUCAUUUUCGAGCCAAUGGAUAUGCUAUAGCCCACGAUUUCAUUGGCGAGAUAGGGGACCGAGCGUGUUUUGGGCUGAAAAUCAAUUGAGGGCUCCCAGUAAAGCUGAGAAGCGGAAGAGUAUGGGCCACGGAGUCGACGAGGCAGUUUGGUUGGUUAAACGGGCAAAACGAUGUGAAUGAGCUAUUUUUGGCCAAAACAAUGUGCUAUAGCCUGCAAUUUCGUAAGCAGGCCCGGGGCCCGGACGUGUUUUAGGUCAAAAAUUGAUUAGGGGAUCCCAGGCAAGCUGAGGAGUAGGGAGUGUGAGCUAGCGGGGUCGGUGAGGUCGUUUGGGUGGUCAAACGGGCCAUUUUUAAGCAAAUCGAUGUACUAUAGCCCACGGUUCUAUAGGUGGGCCCGGGGCCCUUGCGUAUUUUGGAUCGAAAAUCGUCUGGGCGCUCCAGGCAGUUUGAGGAGCGAGGGAAUGUGGGCCAGCGAGGCCGUUUGGUUGGUCAAACUUGCGAAACAUCGCAAACGAACCUUUUUCGGGGCCAAACCAAUGUGUUAUAGCCCACAAUUCAUGGGCAAGCUCAGGGCCCGAAUUUGUUUUGGGCCGUAAAUUUUUCUGGGGCUCACUGGUAGGCUAAGGAGUAGGGGAGUGUGGUCCAACAAGGUCGGUGGGGUCAUUUGACCGAAAAUAGAUCGGGGGAUCACAAGCUGGCCUAGGAGCGGGGGAGUGUGGGUCAGCGGGGUAGACGAGACAUUUUGGGUGAUCAAAAAAGCGAAGCGGCGCGAAUGGACCAUUUUCGAGAAAAAUCAUUGUGCUAUAGCCACGGUUCCAUGGGUGGGCCCAGGAAGGAGAGAGAGAAAGAUGGCUUACCUGUUGCCGGCAAUACUAAGCCACCAGUGUCGGCAACACUGCCAGAAUAAUCUAGCUAAUACUUCUUCUUGUACCAUCGAUCGUAUUGUAUUUUAGGAUUAAGAGAAUCCUAAAUCUAAUCAAAUAUAUCUUUGUAUUUGAGGACCUUAAUUAUUAACUCUCUCCUUAGUUAAAAAAAAACAACAAAUUUUUGAAUGAUUAUUAUACUACCAAAUAAACGAUGUUCUGAAUGAUUUUAAUAAUACCAAUCGACUCCUUAAAUUACAGUUUAACAACGUUAAUAACUCAAAACAAUUAAACAUUAAAAAUUACAUUACACCUAAGCAAAAAUAAAAACCAGAACUACCACGUGGGCAAAAUUAGAACCUACAAGCCUACAUCUUCUUAGGACAUGUAGAAACAUAUGGAUAAUAUUAGGACACGUGAAAAGAAAAAACAUAUCAGGAAGUACAACAGCUGAAAGAAAAUUAUAAAAAAAACAAUAAAUAGCACGUAAGAAAAUUUGUUAAUACAUGUGGAGACAAUAAAAACCAUAAAGCCCUUCCACAUCAGCAAGUAAAAAAACUUAAUGGGAAAAAAAUAUCUAUAAAUAGCACCAACAUUUGAAUUAUGAACAAUACGCGAGAGUUGAUCAAAUCCAAAAUCUCUACCCUAAUUUUACCCCCAAAACCAAAAAAUGGAAAAUCAUCCUAUUGAAGAAGAUGAUCCUUUAAUGGCACAAUUGCUAGAAUCAAAUCCGCAAAAUGAACAGAAAGAUGCCAACUUUGGUGUAGAUUUUGAUUUCAAUGUGGAGCUGCCACAGAAAUAAAAGGAAAAUGAUGAAAAUCCAGAUGCCUUUUUUUGAAAGAAUUCCCACAGAAGAUGAUCAUGCUGCAUUUGAAUUGUUCAAAGAUGAGCUGAACUCAAACACAAGGACAGAUCUACACCAAAUCAAAGGUAAAUUCAAUUAUAUCGGAUUUUGAAAUUAUAGAUUUAAUUUUAUUGUAGCUAAUAUUAUGUUUAUGCUUAUGAAAAUUGAAAAGAUAUUGAAGUAAUGCAAUUAUUGAGUAAAUUCAUCAUAUCGUCAAUCAACUUAGCUAGAGAAUUAUAAUUUGAAAAGAUAUUGAAAAGCAUUAUAACUAAAGCAUUUCUGAAUUUUGAAUUUACAGAAAAUUUGGAUGAAUUGAAGAGGAUGCAGGAAUAAGUUGAAAAAGUAACAAAGGAGAAGGACAGGGAAAUCUCAAACUUAAAAUCACAAGUUGAAAAAUUGACAAAGAAGAAGGACAAGGAGAAUUUAAACUUGAAAUCACAAGUUGAAAAUUGACAAAGGAGAAGGGAGGCUCUUCUCUUGUUUGCUUUGUUGGAUUCCAACAAAAUUUGAAGUAGAAAUUGAUAGCUGGAAUAUUGUCGUUGGAGUUUCGCCGGAAGGUUAAAAAAAUCUGAUCUGAAAAUAAUUGGGCCAAGAUCGAUAUGGGCUGGGAUUGAUCUGGGCUAGGACCGAUCUGGGCCGGGAUUGAUCUGGGCUAGGACCGGUCUGAGCUGGGAUCGAUCUGGGCAGGUACGGUCUGGGCCAAGCCCAAUUGAUGGGUUUACUUACAAUAAAGAAAUCAAAAUAAAAGCAGUAAACACGAAAAUGAGCUCAAAACUACUAUUAGUAUAUGAAAUGAAACUUUGAGAGAGGUUUUGAUAUUAUCUCCCAUUUAAUUAAUUAACUUAUUUUAGAGUAUCACAUCAUAAUUUUGGGAAAAAAUAAAUAUGUUCAUUCAGAAUUUUCCUUCAUUAAUUUGGACAAAAUAUGUGACAAAACAAAACUUUCAAUUUGUGUGCCAAAAAAUUAAGUUACACGACUCGUAUAUGCCACAAGAAACCAAAAUAGACUUGAGAAUCAUGUGAUCUAUAAAAAUACGCCAAAUCUUAAUGCACUUUAACCUUGUAGUGAACCAUGUCAUGUCAAAAAAAUAAAUUAAAGAGAUGGCUAAAUAGUAAAAAAUAUAAUUUAUUUGCAACAAAUAAAAAAGAAAAGAAAAGAAAAACAAAUAAAUAAAUUAAAACUAAAAUUGGGGUAAUACAACCUAUUCAAAGUUUAUAAUAAGAAUAUUUCAACAUAAAAAAGCUUGGGAAUAUUAUAAAUUAGUCAAAUAAAAUUUUACAUAAGUAACUCGAAAAAACUUGGAACACAUUUAAGAAAUAACAAUUAGUAUUCAAAGUUUAUAAUAAGAAUAUUUCAACAUAAAAAAGCUUGGGAAUAUUAUAAAUUAGUCAAAUAAAAUUUUACAUAAGUAAGUAACUCGAAAAAACUUGGAACACAUUUAAGAAAUAACAAUUAAAAACCUAGUCAAACGUCUACUAAUCUAUAGUGUAAUAAUGCUUGUUAACACAUAAAUGUAUAGUAGCCUUUUGUUCUGCCAUAAGUUAAGAGUUUAGUUAAAAGUUGAUUUCAAUUUUAUACUAUUCCAUUUUCAAUCUAAGCAUGCCUUUUGAGUUUGUCAAUCUCUUCUUAUGCCUCUUGAAGUUGCCUUUUCAGCUUUGAAUUCUCCUUAUCCAUUGCUGAGAUUUCUUUGUCCUUUGCUGAUAUCUCCUUGUCCUUCUCUUUUGUGAUUUCUUCUACUUGUUUCUUUAUUCUCUUUAGUUCUUCCUAUUCUUCUGUAAAUUUAAAGUACAAAAAAGCUUAAAUUUUACUGUUUUUCAAAUUAUAAUUUUCUAGCCAAGUAAAGUGAUAAUGUGAGAAAUUAACUUCAAUAUCUUUUCAAUUCUAUCAAUUUCAAUUGUCAUUAUCAUAAACAUAGUAUUAAAAAACCUAAAUUAAAAUCUAUAAUUUCAAAAUCCAAUUGAAUUGAAGUUACCUUGUACUUGUCGCAGAUCUGUUCUAGUGCUUGAAUUUAGCUUUGUUUUGAACGAUUCAACUGCAUCAUAAUCACCUUUUGUGGGAAUUUCAACAAGCACAGCAUAUGGAUCAUCCUUUUCUCCCCAUGGCAGCUCCACAUUGAAGUCAAAGUUUGCAUCUUUCUGCUGUUCAUUUUGGAGAUUUUCUUCUAGCACUUGUGCCAUUAAAGGAUCUUCUUCAAUAGGAUCCAUUUUCUGAUUUGUUUUUUGUUUUUUUUUUUUAAAUUGGAGGUAAAAUUUUGGACUUGAUCAAUUCCCGCUACUGUUCAUAAUUCAAAUGUGGAUGCUAUUUAUAGAUUUAUUUAUUUAUCCCAUUCAGUUUCUUUUUUACGUGUCAUUGUAUUUGUCCAAUGGGGUAGGUCUUUUAUGGUUUUUAUGGUUCUAAUUUUACCACGUAUGCUAAAGGUUUGAAGUUCUGGUUUUUAUUUGUUCUUCCGUGUUAUGUAAUUUGUAAUGUUUAACUAGAAAAUGUUUUUUUUUUAAAUAAUAAAUUACUGAAAUAAAUUUAAAAAUGACACUAAUUUCUUAUUUCAUUUUAAACCUUUUAGAUAAAUAUUAUCAAAUAACUCUUAAAAUUUCAAUUACAUUAGAACAUAGUCAAUUAAUUUUUUUGAAAUUUGUAAAAAAAUACAAAUAAAGAGUAAAAUCGAAAGAAUUAUUUAUAUAUUCUAAAUAAUAAAUAAUUUAUUUAUUUUGAUCUUGGGGAUUAAAUUUUUUGAAAUUCAUAAAAAAUAUAAAUAAAGAGUAAAAUCAAAUGAAUUAUUUAUAUCUUCUAAAUAAUGAAUAAUUUAUUGAUUCUGAAAUAUGGAAANNNNNNNNNNNNNNNNNNNNNNNNNNNNNNNNNNNNNNNNNNNNNNNNNNNNNNNNNNNNNNNNNNNNNNNNNNNNNNNNNNNNNNNNNNNNNNNNNNNNNNNNNNNNNNNNNNAAGCUAGCAUAGAUGCAAAUUGAAUGAAAUUCAAUAUGGAUGAGAUAAAAAAUAACUAAAGCAAAAUUAAAAAAUUACUUUGAAGAAAUAUAAAAACUUCUGUAAGAAACAAACCUCUAAAUUAAAUAUCGGGGAAGAACACCACCCAAAAGAUCCACAAAAAUUUUCAAGUCCUUCAAGUUGUACUGCAUAGCAUAUCUCAUGCUUUACUCCAAUACAAAUGUUCUUCAUCAACAAGUACUCAUAUUAUCUAUUUGAAGAGCAAUGGAAAGUCUUUAAUAAGGGUAGUAUAUUUGCCUAAAGGUAUGUACUUAAUUUGCUAAACGUCUAAGUCCUCCUAAAAUAUGUAUGAAUGACAAUGAAGCAUUGCGUGUACAGUUUUCGUCUAACAAAUCAUCUAUUUGAAGACACUGAUUGAUGCUUCCAGUAAAAACCUUCUCUAUUUCAUUGGCGUUAUAACAGAGCACAUACGUGUUGACACAUAAUUUUUACCCUCCACGACUAAGUUUAAUUUCGAAUUUUUUUUUUUCUUAAUAAAAUUACAAUAUUUAUUUUAUUCGGAUAAAAGUUUCCUAAAGUAUUUAUCUAGAUAAUUUUUGCUAUUUUAAGUAACGAUUAUACAUUUUUGUAUUUGAAUAUACGAAAUCGUAUACUUUUGUUACUUAAAUAUUUAUUCUAUGAAAUAUCGAAUUUUGAUCGAAGCUUAUCUUAAAAAAUAAAUUCAAAUGGUUAAAUUUUGCUUUAAAUAUAAUUGCUCUAAAAAUGAUUUAUUUAAAAAAAAAUAUCAGUUUAAUUUUAUUAAAUCAAGAAGCUCGAAAUCAAAUGAGGUAUUAACUCGUAUCGAAUUUCAAUUUAAUUUAGUCAAUCUAUUAAAUUUGACUAUAAUUAAAAUUAAAUUGACCACAACUGCAAUGCAAUUCGCUAAUUAAUUUUNNNNNNNNNNNNNNNNNNNNNNNNNNNNNNNNNNNNNNNNNNNNNNNNNNNNNNNNNNNNNNNNNNNNNNNNNNNNNNNNNNNNNNNNNNNNNNNNNNNNNNNNNNNNNNNNNNNNNNNNNNNNNNNNNNNNNNNNNNNNNNNNNNNNNNNNNNNNNNNNNNNNNNNNNNNNNNNNNNNNNNNNNNNNNNNNNNNNNNNNNNNNNNNNNNNNNNNNNNNNNNNNNNNNNNNNNNNNNNNNNNNNNNNNNNNNNNNNNNNNNNNNNNNNNNNNNNNNNNNNNNNNNNNNNNNNNNNNNNNNNNNNNNNNNNNNNNNNNNNNNNNNNNNNNNNNNNNNNNNNNNNNNNNNNNNNNNNNNNNNNNNNNNNNNNNNNNNNNNNNNNNNNNNNNNNNNNNNNNNNNNNNNNNNNNNNNNNNNNNNNNNNNNNNNNNNNNNNNNNNNNNNNNNNNNNNNNNNNNNNNNNNNNNNNNNNNNNNNNNNNNNNNNNNNNNNNNNNNNNNNNNNNNNNNNNNNNNNNNNNNNNNNNNNNNNNNNNNNNNNNNNNNNNNNNNNNNNNNNNNNNNNNNNNNNNNNNNNNNNNNNNNNNNNNNNNNNNNNNNNNNNNNNNNNNNNNNNNNNNNNNNNNNNNNNNNNNNNNNNNNNNNNNNNNNNNNNNNNNNNNNNNNNNNNNNNNNNNNNNNNNNNNNNNNNNNNNNNNNNNNNNNNNNNNNNNNNNNNNNNNNNNNNNNNNNNNNNNNNNNNNNNNNNNNNNNNNNNNNNNNNNNNNNNNNNNNNNNNNNNNNNNNNNNNNNNNNNNNNNNNNNNNNNNNNNNNNNNNNNNNNNNNNNNNNNNNNNNNNNNNNNNNNNNNNNNNNNNNNNNNNNNNNNNNNNNNNNNNNNNNNNNNNNNNNNNNNNNNNNNNNNNNNNNNNNNNNNNNNNNNNNNNNNNNNNNNNNNNNNNNNNNNNNNNNNNNNNNNNNNNNNNNNNNNNNNNNNNNNNNNNNNNNNNNNNNNNNNNNNNUGCCUUGGGUAGCUUUGUAGAUUUUUGACCCAAAAUCCGCCCGAGCCCACCCGAAAAACCAUAGGCUAUAGCAUACUAAAUUAGCUCAAAAAUGGCCCGCUUGUGCCGUUUCGUCCGUUUGAUAAUGCAAAUCUCUCGUUUGACUACAAAGGCCCACAUUAAGCCGCUUUUAGCCUACUUAGGGCAGCCCGAACAAUUUUUAGGCCAAAACUCGCCUGGGCCCCGGGCCCACACUAAAAACUAUGGGCUAUAGCAUACCGAUUUGACACAAAAAUGGCCCGUUUAUGCCGUUUUGCCCUUUUGACCAUCCAAACCGCCUGUUUGACCACAAAAGCCCAUACUAGGCCAUUCUAUAUCCUGUCUAGGGCAUCCCGGUCAAUUUUCAACCCCAAAACCGCACGAGUCCUGGGUUCACCACAAAAACUAAUUUAGCUCAAAAUGGUACGUUCGCGCCAUUUUGCCCGUUUGACCACCAAACCGCCCGUUCCACAAACGCCCAUACUAGGCUGUCCCCCAGCCCGCCUAGGGCAACUCAGUCGAUUUUCUAUCAAAAACCGACACAAGACCUAGGCUCGCCUCGAAAAUCAUGGGCUAAAGCACACCAAUUUAGCCCUAAAAUGGCCCGUUCGCACAGUUUCACUCGUUUGACCACCCAAACCUCCUGUUUAACCACAAAGGCCCAUACUAGGUCACUUUUCAGCUUUCUUGGGGCAGCCCGAUUGAUUUUUGGCCCAAAAUCCGUCGGUCCACCCCAAGAACCGUGGGCUAUAGCGUAUCUUUUUUGGGCCAAAAAUGGCCUAUUAGCACUGUUUCGCCCGUUUAACCACUAAAAUCGCCCGUUUGACCAUCAAGGUCCACACGAGGCCGCUUCCCAGCCUUCCUGGGGUGGCCCGAUCGAUUAUCGGCCUAAAACCCACUCGGGCCCUAGGGCCACCCUAAAAAAUAUGGGCUUUAGCACACUGAUUUGGCCCGAAAAUGUCCCGUUCGCGCCGUUUCGCCCGUUUGACCACUCAAACCACCCAUUUGACCAUAAAGGCCAACACCAGGCUGCUCCCCAGCCUGUCUGGGGUAGCCCGAUCAAUUUUUAGCCUAGAAUCAACCCGGACCUCCAGCCCACACCAAAAAUCGUGGGCUAUAGCACACUGGUUUUUCUCGAAAAUGCUCCGUUCGCUCUGUUUCGUCGGUUUAACCACCCAAAUGACCCCCCUACCCAAACUACCAAACACUAGGCUGAUCCCCAGCCUUCCUGGCACGUCUCGAUCAAUUUUUGGCCCACGGAACGCUCGGACCUCAGGCCCACCCAUGGAAUCGUGGGCUAUAACAUAUCGAUUUUACCCAAAAUGCCCCAUUUGCACCGUUUUGCUUGUUUGACCACCCAAAUGGCCCCGUCCACCUAAACGACCCAUACUAGGACGAUCUCUAGUUUCUGUGCCAUGCCUCAGUCAAUUUUAGGCCCACAACACGCCCAAACCUUGAGCCAACCCACGGAACCGUGGGUUAUAGCACACCAAUUCUGCUCGAAAAUACCCCGUUCCUGCCAUUUUUCCCGUUUGAUCACUCAAAUGGCCCCGUCAACCCAAACGAUCCACACUAGGCCAAUCCCCAGCCUCCGUGGCACGCCCCGAUUGAUUUUUCGCCCACGUCACACCCAGACCCUAGGCGCACCCACCGAACCGUAGGCUAUAGCACACCGAUUUUACCUAAAAAUGCCCUGUUUGUAUCAUUUUGUCUGUUUGAUCACCCAAAUGGAUUCGACCACUUAAACGACCCACUCUAGGCUGAUCUCCAGCAUCCCAGACACGCCAUGAUUGAUUUUUAACCCAUGACACAUCGGUGGGCACACUAAUGGAACCGUGGGAUAUAGCACACCGAUUUUGCCCGAAAAUGCCCCGUUCGCGCUGUUUCACCCGUUUGAUCACCGCAAUGGCCCCGCCUACCCAAACGACCCAUAAUAAGUCGAACCCCAGCCUCCCUAGCAAGACCUGAUCGAUUUUUAGCCUACGGCACGGCAAGACCCCGGACCCACCCUCGAAACUGUGGGCUAUAACAUACUGAUUUUACUUGAAAAUGCCCUGUUUGCAUUUUUUCACCCAUUUGACCACCGAAAUGGCCUCGCCCACCCAAUUGGCCAACAUUAGGCCUAUCCCCAGACUUCCUAGCAUGCCCCUGUCAAUUUUUGGCCCAUGACACGCCCGAACGCUGGGCUUUCCCAUAAAAUCGUGGGCUAUAGCACUCCGAUUUUGUCGAAAAAUGUCCCGUUUGCGCCGUUUGACCCAUUUAACCACUCAAAUGGCACCGCCAAACCAAUCAGCCUAUAUUAGGAUGAUCUCUAGCAUCCCUGGAACACCAUGUUGAUUUUCGACCUAUGACACACUCGGACCACAGAGCAACCUACAGAACCGUGGGCUAUAGCAUAACGAUUUUGCCCCAAAAUGCCUCAUUCUUACCAUUUCACCUGUUUGACUACUCAAAUGGCCCUGCCCAACAAAAUGACCCAUACUAGGUCGAUCCCAGCCUCCCUAGCACAUACCGAUCAAUUUUUGACCCACGACAUGCUGGGACCUUAGGCCCACCAUAAAAUUAUAGGCAAUAGCAUACCGAUUUUGCUUAAAAAUGCCACAUUCACGCUGUUUCGCUCGUUUGACCAUACAAAUGAUACCUUCUACCCAAACGGUCCAUACUAGGUCGAUCCCUAAUCUCCCUGGCAUGCUCUGGUCAUUUUGAUCCAUGACAUGCUCGAACACUGGGCCCACAAAUGGAAUCAUGGGCUAUAGCAAACCGAUUUUUCUCGAUAACGUACUGUUCAUGAUUUUUGCCCGUUUGACCCCUCAAAUGGCCUCGCCCACCCAAACGACCCACACUAGUUGAUCCCCAGCCUCUCUGGCACGUCCAGUUGAUUUUUAGCCUACGGUACGCCCAGAACCAUGGCUCACUACGAAAUCGUAGGUAAUAACACACUGAUUUAGCUCAAAAAUACCUUGUUUAUGUCGUUAUGCCUGUUUGACCACUCAAAUAGCCUCGCCCACCCAAACGACCUAUACUAAGCCGAUCCCCAGCUUCUCUGGUAUGCGCCGAUCAAUUUUCAGCCCACGGCACGUCUAAACCCUGAGCCCACCUACGGAACCGUGAGCUAUAGCACUCCAAUAUUUCUCGAAAAUGCUACAUUUAUGCCGUUUCGCUCGUUUGCCACCCAAAUGGCCACGUCCACCCAAACUACCCAUACUAGGCCGAUCCCAAGUCUCUCAAUCAUGCCCUGAUCGAUUUUUCUCCCACGACACGCUCGUAUUUCGGGCUUACCUACGGAACCAUGGGUUAUAAUACAUUGAUUUUGCUUAAAAAUGCCUCGUUCAUGCCAUUUCGCCCAUUUGACCACCCUAAUGGCCUCGCCCACCCAAAUGACCCACAUUAGGCGGAUCCUCAGCCUUCCUGUCACGCCCUGAUCAAUUUUUGGCCAAUGCCACGCUCGAACCUCGGGCCCACCCAUGAAAUUUUAUGCUAUAUAGGACACUAAUUUUGCCUAAAAAUGCUCCGUUUGUGCUGUUUUGCCCAUUUAACCACCCUAAUGGCCUAUACUAGGUCGAUCCUAUGCCACCUAAGCAUGCCCAGAUCGAUUUUUGGCCAACGACAAGCUCGAACCCCGAGACCACCCAUGGAACUGUGAGCUAUAGUACACCAAUUUUUCCUAAAAACGCCCUAUCUAUGCCGUUUUGCUUGUUUGACCUCCCAAAUGGCCCUGCCCACCCAAACGGGUCGACACUUAGUCGAUCCCCACUCUCCCUGCUACCCGUUAGUUGAUUUUUAGCCUACGACUGUAUCCGAUUGAUUUUUGGCGCACGACAUGCUCGGAUCAUAGGCUCUCCUACGAAACCAUGGGCUAUAGCACACCAAUUUUGAUCAAAAAUACCUUGUUCGUGCUGUUUUGCCCGUUUGACCAUCCAAAUGGCAUCGCCACCCCAAAUGUCCUACACUAGGCCGAUUCCUAACCUUCUUUCACACUCCAGUCGAGUUUUGGCUCAAGACACUCUCGGAUCCUAGGCCCACCCAAGGAACCAUGUUCUAUAACACACCGAUUUUGCCCCAAAAAGCCUCGUUUGCAUUGUUUUGCCCGUUUUACCACCCAAAUGGCACUGCACACCUAAACGGCCCAUACUAAGCCGAUACCCAGUCUCCUUGGCAUGCCCCAGGCAACUUUUUGCCCACGACACGCCUGGACCAUGGGCCGCACCCAUGAAACGUGGGCUAUAGCACACCGAUUUUGCUUGAAAAUGCCUCGUUCAUGACGUUUUGUCCAUUUGACCACCCAAAUAGCCCUGACUACUCAAACAACCAACAAAAGGCAGAUCCCUAGCCUCCAUGGCAUGCCCCAAUCAAUUUUCGACCCACAACAUACUCGAUCCUGGUCCACCCAUGAAACCGUGGACUAUAACACAUUGAUUUUGCCUAAAAAUACACCAUUACACUAUUUCUCUCAUUUGACCACUCAAAUGGCCCUGUCCACUCAAAUAUCCCACUGUAGGCCGAUCCCCAGCCUCCCUAGCAUGCCUCGAUUGAUUUUCAACCCAUGGCAUAACCGAACUCCUGGCCUACACACAGAACCGUAGGCUAUAGCACAUCAAUUUUUCAUGAAAAUGCUCUAUUCAUGCUGUUUUGCCUGUUUGACCAUCCAAAUGACCCCGCCCACCCAAAUGGCCCACACUAGGCCGGUCCCCACCCUCCCUGGUAUGCCUCGGUAAAUUUUCAGCUUAGGGCACGUCCGUACCUCAGGCCUACCCACAAAACCGUGGGCUAUAUCACAAUGAUUUUGCUCGAAAUGCCCAAUUCACACGGUUUCGCCCGUUUGAUCACCCAAAUGGCCCUGCCUAAACUAGCCUGAUCCACAGCCACCCUGGCUCGCCUUCAUUGAAUUUUGACCCACGAUAUACUAGAAUCCCAAUCCCACCUAGGGAACCGUGGGCUAUAGUACACUGAUUUUGAGUGAAAAUGCCCCAUUCGCAUCUUUUCGCUCGUUUGACCACCUAAAUGGCUUCGCCCAUCUAAAUGGCCCACACUAGGCCGAUCCCCAGCCUUUAUGGCCCUCCUCGAUCAAUUUUCGGCCCAUGAAAUGUUUGGACCCAAGGCCCACCUACGGAACCAUGGGCUUUAGCACACCAAUUUUGCCUAAAACUGCCCAAUUCAUACCGUUUCGCCCAUUUGACCCACCCAAAUUGGACCGCCUACCUAAACGACCCAUACUAGGCCAAUCUCCAGCCUCCCUGGCACGCACAGGUCAAUUUUCGGCUAACGUCACCCAAAAGCCAAGCCCACCCACUUAAUCGUGGGCUAUAGUACAUCAAUUUUGCCCGAAAAUGCUCCACUCAUGCCGUUUCGCCUGUUUAACCAUCCAAAUGGUCAUGCCUACCUAAAUGAAUCAUAAUAGGACUAUCCCUAGACUCCCUGGCAUGCUCCUAUUAAUUUUUCGCACACGAAACGCCCUAAACCUGGGUCCACCCAUGAAACAGUGGGCUAUAACACACCGAUUUUGCUCGAAAAUGCCCUGUUCGUGUUGUUUUGCUCGUUUGAACACCCAAAUGGCUCUGCCUACCCGUAUGGCCCACACUAGGCUGAUCCCCAUCCUCCCUAGAACGCCCUAGUUAAUUUAUGGACCACAGCACGCCUAGACCAUGGGCUUACCAUGAAAUCACAAGCUAUUAUAGCACACCAAUUUGGCCCAAAAAUGCUCCGUUUGUGUCGUUUCAUAUAUUUGACCACCCAAAUGGUCCCGCCCACCCAAACGACCUAGACUAGGCCAAUCCACAGACUCCCUGGCAUGCACCGGUCAAGUUUUGACCCACAGCACACCCGUACCCCGAGCCCACCCAUGGAAUCGUGUGCUAUAGCACACCAAUUUAGCCUAAAAAAUCUCCGUUCAGGAUGUUUCGCCCAUUUAACCACCCUAAUAGCCUCGCCCACCCAAACGGCCCACACUAGGUCGAUCUCCAGCCUCUCUGGCAUACCCCGGUCGAUUUUCAGUCCACAGCACAUCGCAAUUGAUUUAGCUCAAAAAUAUCCCAUUCGCGGCAUCUUGCCCGUUUGACCACCCAAAUGGACCGCCAACCUAAAUGGCCCAUACUAGGAUGAUCCCCAGUCUCCCUGGCAUGCCCGAGUCAAUUUUUGGCCCACAGCAUGCCAGGACCCCUGGCUCAACCACAAAACAGUGGGCUAUAGCACAUUGAUUUAGCCUAAAAAUACCUUAUUCACACUGUUUUGCCUGUUUGACCAACCUAAAUGCCCCGCAGACCCCAACGUACCAUACUAGGCCGCUCAUCAGCCUACCUGGGGCCCCUGGGUCGAUUUUUAUCCCACAAUACGUCAGGAUCCAAGGCCCACCCCCAUAUCGUGGGCUAUUGCACACUUAUUUAGCUCGAAAAUUUCUCUUUCAUGACGUUUUGCUUGUUUGAUCACCCAAAUGGAUUUGGACCACAGCACGCCCGGACUCACCCCUAAAACCGUGGGCUAUAGCACACCGAUUUGGCCUUAAAAUGCCCUGUUAAUAUCAUUUCACCCGUUUGACCACCCAAAUGGCCCUGUCGACCCCAACGACUUACACUAGGCUUCUCCUUAGCCUUUCUUGGGCCUUCAAUCAAUUUUUGGCCCACAGCACGCUCGUACCCCAGGCCCACCCUCGGAGUCGUGGGCUAUAUCACACCAAUUUGGCCUUAAAAUGCCUCUUUCACGCCCUUUCGCCUGUUUGACCACCCAAAUAGCCUCGCUGACCCUAACAACAUGCGUUGAUAUAUUAUAAAUCUACGAAUAGCCUGGACCCCGUGCCCACCACAGAACCGUGGGCUAUAGCACACCAAUUAUGCCAAAAAUGCCUCGUUCGCGCCGUUUUGCCUGUUUGACCAUCCAACUGACCCCGCCUACCUAAACGUCCCAAACUAGAUUGAUCCCAACUUCCCUGGCACACCUUUAUCCAUUUUUGGCCCACGAAAUAUCCGAACCUCGGGCCCACCCACGAAACUAUAGGCUGUAGCAUACUGAUUUUGCCGAAAAAUAUCCCGUUCGCGCCGUUUCGCCUGUUUGACCACCUAAAUAUCCCACCCACCCAAACGACCAAUACUAAGCUAAUCCCCAAUCUCCCUGGCAUGCCCAGUCAAUUUUUAGCUCAUAAAACGUUUGAACCUCGAGCCUACCAAUGGAACUGUGAGCAAUAACACAUCGAUUUUGCUUAAAAAUGCCCGUUCAUGCCGUUUUGCCUGUUUGACCACCCAAAGGGCCUCACCCACCCAAACGGACCAUACUAGGCCAAUCCUUAUCCUCCCUGGCAAGCCCCAUAGAUUUUUGGCCCACGGCACUUGCGGACCCCGGAUCCACCCACAUAGUCAUGGGCUAAAGCCCAUCGAUUUUGCCUGAAAAUGCCCCAUUCACGCUGUUUCACCCGUUUAACCACCCAAAUGGCCCUGCCAUCCCAAACAACCCACACUAGGAUGAUCCUCAACCUCUCUGGCAUGCCCUGAUCAAAUUUUAGCCUACGACAUGCCCGAACCUUGGGCCCACCCACAGAACCGUGGGUUAUAGCACACUAAUUUUGCCCAAAAAUACCCCAUUCGCACUGUUUCACCUGUUUGACCACCCAAAUAACCCACGUUAGGUCGAUCACCAUCAUGGCCCAAUUGAUUUUCGGCCCACGACACGUCCAGACCCUGAGCUCACCCAUGGAACCGUGGGUUAUCUAUUUUUUCUUAAGAUGGUCAAUUUGCCUCUUUUCGCUCGUUUGAUCACCCAAAUGACCCCGCCCACCCAAACGACCUAUAGUAGGCUGAUCCGCAGCCUCCCAAGUAUGCUCCGAUCGAUUUUUUGCCCAUGACACGCCUGAACCCGGGCCCACCCACAAAAUCAUGAGCUUUAGCACAUUGAAUUUUUCUGAAAAUAUCCCAUUCGAGAUGUUAUGCUCGGUGACCACCAAAAUGGCCCCUCUCACCCAAACGGCCCCUACUAGGUCGAUCCCGAUCUCCCUAGCAUGCCCCGAUUGAUUUUAAGCCCACAACACUCUCCGAUUGAUUUUUGGCCCAUGGCAUACUCGGACCCCGGCCCCUCCCACAAAAGCGUGGGCUAUAGCAUGCCAAUUUUGCCCGAAAAUCCCUCGUUAGUGCCGUUUCACCCGUUUGACUACCCAAAAUAUUCCCGCCCACCCAAAUGGCCCACACUAGGCUGAUCACCAGCAUGCCUCAAUUGAUUUUUAGCCCAUUGUAUGCCUGAACCCCGAGCCCACCCUUGGAACCAUGGGUUAUAGUACACUGAUUUUUCCUUAAAAUGCCCAAUUCGCCUCAUUUUACCCGUUUGACCACCAAAAUGACCCCGCCUACCCAAACGGCCCAUACUACGCCGAUCCGCAGCCUCCCUAGUUUUCUCUGGUCGAUUUUCGACCCACAACAAAUUCAAACUCAGGCCCACCUAAGAAAUCGUGAGCAAUAAUAUAUCAAUGUUUUCUGAAAAUGCUCUGUUCGUGCUGUUUCGCUCGUUUGACCACCCAAAUGGCUCCGCCCACCCAAACGAUCCCGCCUACCCAAACGACCCACACUAGAUCAAUCCCCAACCUCUCUGGCAUGCCCCGAUCGAUUUUCAGCCCACGACACUCUCUAAUUGAUUUUUGAUCCAUGGCAUACCCAAAACUCGAGCCCUCCCACAGAAGCAUGGGCUAUAGCAUACCAAUUUUGCUCGAAAAUGUCUCAUUCGCGCCGUUUCACCUGUUUGACUACCUAAAUAUUCCCACCCACCUAAACGGCUCAUACUAGGCCGAUCACAACACGCUCUAAUUGAUUUUUGGCCCAUGGUAUGCCUGGACCCUGAGCCCACUCAUGGGACCAUGGGUUAUAGCACACCAAUUUUUCCUAAAAAGGCCCCAUUCGUAUCGUUUCUCCCAUUUGACCAACCAAAUGACCAGCCUGCCUAAAUGGCCCAUACUAGGUCGAUUCAUAACCUCCCCAGUAUGCCCAAGUCAAUUUUCAGCCCACGACACGCUCGGACCUAGGACCACCUAUGAAACCGUGAGCUAUAGCACAUUGGUUUUGCCCGAAAAUGUCCCAUUUGCGCCAUUUCGCUCGUUUGACCACCCAAAUAGCCCCACCCACCCAAACGACCCACACUAGGCCGAUCCCCAGCCUCUCUAGCAUGCCCUGAUUGAUUUUCAGCCCAGACACUCCCCAAAUGAUUUUUAGUCCUUGGCACGCCCAAAUUUUGGGCCCUCUUGUGGAAGCGUGGACUAUGCUCGAAAAUGCCCCGUUCUACCAUUUUGCCUGUUUGACCACCUAUACAACCCACACUAGGCUGAUCCCCAGCCUUUCUGGUAUGCCCCAAUCGAUAUUCAAUCCUCGACACACCCAAAACCUGGGCCCAUCCAUGGAAUCGUGGGAUAUAGCACAUUAAUUAUCCUCAAAAAUACCCCGUUCAUGCUGUUUCACCCGUUUGACCACCCAAAUGGCCUCAUUCCCCCAAAUGACCAACACUAGGCCGAUCCCCAGUAUCCUUGGCAUUCCCCGAUUAUGUUUUGGCCUAGGGUAUGCCCGAAUCCCAAUUCUACACACGGAACGAUGGGCUAUAGCAUAAUGAUUUUGCUCGAAAAUGCCCCGUUCGCACUAUUUUACCCGAUUGACCACCCAAAUAGCAAUGCCAACCCAAACAGCUCACACUAGGCUUAUCACCAGCCUCCCUUGCAUGCUUCAAUUGAUUUUUGUCUAAUGGCACGCCCGAACACCAGGACCACCCACGAAACCGUGGGCUAUAGCACACCGAUUAUUCUCGAAAAAGCCCCAUUCAUGAUAUUUCUCCUGUUUGACCUCCCAAAUGGACUCUCCCACCUAAACGUCCCAUAUUACAUCGAUCCCCAAUAUCUCUAGCAAGCCCUGAUCAAUUUUUAUUCCUCUACACACCCAGACCUUGGGCCUACCCAUGGAAACAUGGGAAAUAUCACAUUGAUUUUGUCUGAAAAUGCUCUGUUUGCAUCAUUUUGCCCGUUUGACCACCAAAAUAGCCUCGCCAACCUGAACGACUCAUACUAGGUCGAUCUCAAACUUCUCUGGCAUGUCUCGAUCGAUAUUUGAACCAUAGCAUGCUUGGACCCCUGGCCCAUCCACGGAACCGUGGGCACCGAUUUUUCCCCAAAAUGCCCCAUUCACACUAUUUCUAUGAUUUGACCUCCCAAAUUUCUCUGCCUACCAAAACGGCCUAUAUUAGGCUGAUCCUCAGCCUCCCUGGCAAGCUUCGAUCAAUUUUUAGCCCACGACAUGGCAAGACCCCGAACCCACCCACUAAACUGUGGGCUUUAACACACCGAUUUUACUUGAAAAUGUCCUAUUUAUGCCGUUUCGCUCAUUUGACCACCCAAAUGGCCCUGCUCACCCAAUUGGCCAACACUAGGCCUAUCCCAGCCUUCCUUGCAUGGCCCAGUCAAUUUUCAGCCCAUGACAUACCCGGACCCCAGGCCCACCUAUAAAAUCAUUGGCUAUAGCACUCUGAUUUUGCCCAAAAAUGCUUCGUUUAUGCCAUUUCGCCCGUUUGACCACCCAAAUGGCUCUGCUAACCCAAUCGGACCAUAUUAGGCUGAUCUCUAGCCUCCCUAGCACACCUUGUUGAUUUUUGACCUACGACACACCUAGACCACGGAGCCACCCACAGAAUCGUGGGCUAUAGGAUAAUGAUUUUGCCUACAAAUGCCUCAUUUAUGCUGUUUUGCCCGUUUAACCAUCCAAAUGGCCCCACCCAACCAAACAACCCACACUAGGUCGAUCCCAUCCUCCCAUCAUGCAUCGAUCGAUAUUUAACCUAUGGUACACCCGGACACCAGGCCCCCCACACACACGUAGGCAAUAGCACACCAAUUUUGCUUGAAAAUGCCCUAUUCACUCUAUUUUUCCCGUUUGACCACACAAAUGACACCGCCUACCCUAACAGCCCAAACUAGGUCGAUCCCCAACCUCCCUGGCAUGCCUUGGUCAAUUUUUGACCCACAACAUGCUCGAACAUUGGGCCCAACCACGGAACCGUAGGCUAUAGUACAUCGAUUUUGCCCGAUAACAUACUGUUCAUGCUUUUUCACUCGUUUGACCACCCAAAUGUCCCCGCCCACCCAAACGACUCAUAAUAGGCCAAUCCCUUGCCUCUCUGGCACGUCUGAUCAAUUUUUGGACCACCCACCCAAACGGCCUACACAAGGCCGAUCUCCAACCUCCCUGGCAGGCGCUGAUAAAUUUUUAGACCACGAAAUGCCUAAACCUUAAGCCCACCCAUGUAAUCGUAAGCUAUAGCACUCUAAUUUUUCUCGAAAAUGCCACAUUUGCGCUGUUUUGCUCAUUUUACCUCCCAAAUGGCCUCGGCCACCCAAAUAACCCAUUCUAGGCCUAUCCCCAACCUCCCAAACAUGCCCCGGUUGAUUUUCUUCCCACAACACUCUCGAAUCAUGGGCUCACCUACAGAACCGUGGGUUAUAACACAUCGAUUUUGCUUGAAAAUGCCUCAUUCGUUAUGUUUCUCCCAUUUGACCACCCAAAUGGCCUCGCCCACCUAAACAACCCACAUUAGGCGGAUCCCCAGCCUCCUUGGCAUGUCCCGAUUGAUUUUCGGACCACGGUACGCCUGGGCCCCAGCCCACCCAUGAAACUAUGGGCUAUAUAGCACACUGAUUUUACCUAAAAAUGCCUCGUUCGUGUCGUUUCGCCUAUUUGACCUCCCAAAUGGACUAUACUAGGUCGAUCCCAUGCCACCCAAGUAUGCCCCAAUUGAUUUUUUGAUAAUGACACGGCCGAAACCCGGGACCACCCACAGAACUGAGAGUUAUAGCACACCAAUUUUGCCUAAAAAUUUAUUAGUUAUGCUAUUUCGCCUGUUUAACCGCCCAAAUGGCCCCACCCACUAAACGAACAAUACUAAGAUGCUCCCUAGCCUAUGUGGCAUGCCUUAGUCAAUUUUUGUCCCAAAUCACGCCCAACCCUCGGGCCUACGCUAAAAAUUAUGGGCUAUAGCACACCAAUUUUAUCCAAAAAUGCCUCAUUCGUGCUAUUUGACCACCCAAAUGGAUCCUCCUACACAAACGGACAACACUAGGACGCUCUCCAGCCGCCCUGGCAUUCUGCGAUCAAUUUUCGGCCCAAAUAACGCUAGGGCCCCGAGCCCACCCCAAAAACGGUGGGCUAUAGCACCCAAUUUGGCCAAAAAAUGUUCCAUUCAUGCUGUUUUGCCCAUUUGACUAGCCAAAUGGCCCCUCCCAUACAAACGGGCACUAGGCCACUCCCUAGCCUCCCUGGCAUGCCCCCGUUGAUUUUCAUCCCAAAUCACGUAUUGUAGACACGUAAUUUUGUCCUUUCCAAAAAAUAUUUUAAUUAUUUUUAUUUCAUUUUAUUUUUUUAAUUUAAUUUUUAUUUUUAUUUUAUUCAUCUUACCAUACUUUUGUUUAAUUGUUUAGUUGAGUCAUCCUUAUUUUAGGAGGGCGAGCCGUCGGCUGGUAUGGAGUAGGUGGACAGCCAAAGCAACCACUAUCGACCAUACGCUUUUCCGAACAACCUUGUUAGUGAACCCCAGCAUAGGUCAGCCUUUAGGUUAUACUUAUGUGCAUCAUAUUGAGACCUAGCGGGGCCUAUUUGGUCCUUUGUAGGAGACUCACCUUUACAACAUUCCUAUGUACUAAAUGUUGCAUCUUUGAGGGUAACGUGGUCAUUUGACUGACCGAUUCGGGGAAAGUAUGUGUUAGAAGUAAAGUGUGUAGGCAAUGAAAAUUUGGAUGAAAAAAAAAAAAGAAAAAGGCGAAUCGAAAAAGGGUUUUGUAGUUUUUUUAGAGUUUUUUAAUGAAUUUUGUUUUUCACAAUCCAAAAAUUAAAAAAAAAUAGUUUUUUCCUUUUACCUUUUGAAUUCAUUUUCUCAAAAAAAUAAAAAAUUCAAAAAGUUUUUUUUCACCAUUUGCACCAUCUUCUCAAAAUACAAAAAAAUAUCAAAACGAUUUUUCUUUUGUUUCUUUAGUAAUCAUUCAUAAUNNNNNNNNNNNNNNNNNNNNNNNNNNNNNNNNNNNNNNNNNNNNNNNNNNNNNNNNNNNNNNNNNNNNNNNNNNNNNNNNNNNNNNNNNNNNNNNNNNNNNNNNNNNNNNNNNNNNNNNNNNNNNNNNNNNNNNNNNNNNNNNNNNNNNNNNNNNNNNNNNNNNNNNNNNNNNNNNNNNNNNNNNNNNNNNNNNNNNNNNNNNNNNNNNNNNNNNNNNNNNNNNNNNNNNNNNNNNNNNNNNNNNNNNNNNNNNNNNNNNNNNNNNNNNNNNNNNNNNNNNNNNNNNNNNNNNNNNNNNNNNNNNNNNNNNNNNNNNNNNNNNNNNNNNNNNNNNNNNNNNNNNNNNNNNNNNNNNNNNNNNNNNNNNNNNNNNNNNNNNNNNNNNNNNNNNNNNNNNNNNNNNNNNNNNNNNNNNNNNNNNNNNNNNNNNNNNNNNNNNNNNNNNNNNNNNNNNNNNNNNNNNNNNNNNNNNNNNNNNNNNNNNNNNNNNNNNNNNNNNNNNNNNNNNNNNNNNNNNNNNNNNNNNNNNNNNNNNNNNNNNNNNNNNNNNNNNNNNNNNNNNNNNNNNNNNNNNNNNNNNNNNNNNNNNNNNNNNNNNNNNNNNNNNNNNNNNNNNNNNNNNNNNNNNNNNNNNNNNNNNNNNNNNNNNNNNNNNNNNNNNNNNNNNNNNNNNNNNNNNNNNNNNNNNNNNNNNNUCUUUUUGUCCACCCAAAAGGCCACGAUAAAUUAAAUGGACCACACUAAGAUGAUCCCCAACCCCCUGGCAUGCCCCUAUCAAUUUUCAGCCCAUAUCACGCCCGGGCCUCGGCCCACCCCCAAAACAGUGGGCUAUAGCACACCGAUUCAGCCCGAAAAUUCGCCAUUUGUGUUGUUUCAUCCGUUUGUCCACCCAAAUGGCCAGGAUAAAUUAAACAAACCAAACUGGGUUGAUCCCCAACCUCCCUGGCAGGCCUUCGUCAAUUUUUGACCACACCACGCUCAGACCCCAGGCCCAACCCCGAAACCGUGAGCUAUAUCACACCAAUUUGACUCAAAAAUGACCCGUUCCCGCCGUUACUCCCGAUUGUCCACCCAAAUGGCCACGAUAUAUUAAACGGACCACACUGGGAGAUCCCCAACCUCCGUAGCAUACCCUCAUCGAUUUUCGGCUCGCACCACACCCGAACCCCGGGGACUGCCUCAAAACCGAGAGCUACAGCACACUGAUUUGGCCCGAAAAUGCCCCAUUUGCAUUGUUUUGCCUGUUUGUCCACCGAAAUGGCCACGAUAAAUUAAAUAAACCACACUGGGAGGAUCCCCAACCUCCCUGGCACGCCUCCAUUGAUUUUUGGCACAAACCACGGUCGAACCCCGGGCCCAACCCUAAAACUGAGCUAUAGCACACUAAUUCAGCCCAAAAAUGCCCCGUUUGUGCCGAUUCUAUCGUUUGUUCUCUCAAAUGACCACGAUAAAAUAAAUAUACCACACUGGAACAAUCCCCAACCUCUCCGGCACGCCCUUGUCUAUUUUCGGCGCACACCACGCUCGGACCCCGGGCCGACCCCUAAAACCGUGGGCUGUAGCAUACUGAUUUGGCCAGAAAAUGCCAUGUUCAUGUUGUUUUGCCUGUUUGUCCACCCUAAUGGCCAUGACAAAUUAAAUGAACCAUACUGGGUCGAUACCCAACCUCCCUGGCACGCCCUCAUCAAUUUUUGGCCACACCACGCCUGGACCCUGGGUGUAUCCCCGAAACUGUGAGCUAUAGCACACCGAUUUGACUCAAAAAUUAACCGUUCGCGCCGUUACUCCCUUUUGUCCACCCAAAAGGCCAUGAUAAAUUAAACGGACUACACUAGGAGGAUCCCCAAGCUCUCUGGCAUGCCUCGAUCGAUUUUUGACCCACACCACGCCCGAACCCCGAGGCCACCCCCAAAACCGUGAGCUAUAGCACACCGAUUUGGCCUAUAAAUGCCCCAUUCGCGUAGUUUUGCCCGUUUGUACACCAAAAUGGCCACGAUAAAUUAAAUGAACCACACUGGGAUGAUCCCCAACCUCCCUGACACACCCCAUCAAUUUUUCAAACACACCACGCCCGGACCCCUGGACCCACCCCCAACACCGAUUCAGCCCGAAAAUGCCCCGUUUGUUCUGAUUCUCCCUUUUGUCCACCCAAAUGGCCACGAUAAAUUAAACAGAUCACACUGAACGAUCCCCAACAUCCUGGACAUACACCUGUCAAUUUUCAGUGCACACCACACCCAGACCCCGGGCCCACCCCUGAAACCGUAGGCUAUAGCACACCGAUUUGGCUUGAAAAGGCCUCAUUUGCGCUAUUUUGCUUGUUUGUCAACCCAAAUGGCCACGAUAAAUUAAACAGACCACACUGGGAUGAUCCCUAACCUCCCUGGUACGCCUCCGUCGAUUUUUGACCCACAACACGCCUGGACCCCAGGCCCAGCCCCAAAACCAUGGGCUAUAGCACAUCAAUUUAGCCCAAAAACAUCCCGUUCAUGCCGUUUCACCCGUUUGUCCACCUUAAUGGCCACGAUAAAUUAAACAGACCACACUGGGAUGAUUCCUAACCUCCCUGGCAUGCCCCCAUUUAUUUCUGCCCACACCACGCCCGGACCACGGGCCCACCCCCAACAUCGUGGGCUAUAGCACACCAAUUUGUCCCGAAUAAGCCUCGUUCGAGCCGUUACGCCCGUUUGUCUACCCAAAUGGCCAUGAUAAAAUAAAUGGACCAUACUACGAUGAUCCCAAACCUCCCUUGCAUGCCCCAUCAAUUUUUGGCCCACACCAAACCCGAACCACAGACCCACCCCCAAAACCGUGGGCUCUUGUACACCGAUUUUGCCCAACAAUGUGUUGUUCAUGCCGUUUCACCCGUUUGUGCACCAAAUGGCCACGAUAAAUUAAACGGACCACACUAGGACGAUCUCCAACCUUCCUGGAAUGUCCUCAUUGAUUUUUGGCCCAUACCACGCCAUACCUUGAGCCCACCCCCGAAAACUUGGGUUAUAGCACUCUAAUUUGGCCCAAAAAUUCCCCGUUCGCACCGUUUUGCCCAUUUGUCCACCCAAAUGGCCAUGAUAAAUUAAAUGGACCACACUGGGAUAAUCCCCAACCUCCCAGGCACGCCCCCUUUGAUUUAAGGCCCACACCACGCCCGGACCCUUGGCCCACCCAUAAAACCGUGAGCUAUAACACAUCAAUUUCUCCUGAAAAUGCUCUAUUCAUGUUGUUCCACUCGUUUGACCACCCAAAUGGCCCUGCCCACCCAAACAACCCACACUAGGUCAAUCCCCAACCUCCCUGGCAUGCCCCACUCGAUUGUUAGCCCACAACACUCUUCGAUUGAUUUUGGAACCAUGGCACGCUCAGACCCUGAUCCCUCCCACGGAAGCAUGGGCUAUAACAUACUGAUUUUACCCGAAAAUGCCCCAUUCAUGCUGUUUUGCCCAUUGACCACCCAAAUGUUCCCACCCACCUAAAUGUUCUACACUAGGCUGAUCACCAGCAUGUGUUGAUUGAUUUUUGGCCCUUGUCACGCCUAGACCCUGAGCCCACCCAUGGAACCGUGGGUUAUAGCAUACCAAUUUUUCCUAAACAUGGCUCAUUCACAUUAUUUCGCUCGUUUAACCACCCAAAUGACCCGCCCACACAAAUGGCCCAUAUUAGGUCGAUUCGCAAAACCCCUAGUAUGCCCAAGUUGAUUUUCAACCCACGAUAUGCUCACAUCUGGGUCCACCCACGAAAUCGUGAGAUAUAUCACAUCGAUUUUAUCCCAAAAUGCCCUUUUCAUGCUGUUUCUCUUGUUUGACCAUACAAAUGGCCCCACCCACCCAAACGACCCACACUAGGCCAAUCCCCAGCCUCCCUGGCAUGCCAUAAUUGAUUUUUAGCCUACAACAUUCCCCGAUCAAUUUUUGGUCCACGGUACACCCAGAUCCUAGGCCCUCCUGCGGAAGCGUGGGCUAUAGCAUUAUUGAUUGUGCCCUAAAAUGUCCUAUUCUGUCGUUUCGCUCAUUUGACCACCCAAACGGCCUAUACUAGGCUGAUCCCCAGCCUCCCUGGCCCGUCAGAACCCCGAAACCACUUAUGGAAUCAUGGGCUAUAGCACACCGAUGUUUUCCCAAAACACCUCGUUUAUGCCAUUUCAUCCGUUUGACCACCCAAAUGGCCUCGCCCAUAAAAAUGGCCAACACUAGGCCGAUCCCAGUAUCCUUGAAAUGCCUCAAUCAAUUUUUGGCCUUGGGCACACCCGAAACCCGAUCUCACACAAAAUCGUAGGCUAUAGCAUAAUGAUUUUGCUCGAAAAUGCCCCGUUCACACUAUUUUGCCCAUUUGACCACCCAAAUAGCCUUGCCAGCCUAAACAGCUCACACUAGGUCGAUCCCUAGCCUCCCUGGCAUGCUCCAAUUGAUUUUUAGCCUAUGACAUACCUAGUCACCGGGACCACCCACGGAACCGUGGUCUAUAACAUACUAUUUUUUCUAAAAUAUUCCCCAUUCACGUUAUUUUGCUCGUUUGAUCACCUAAAUGGCCCCGUCCACCCAAACAAUUGAUACUACCCUGAUCCUCAACCUCUUUGGCAUGCCCCGAUCAAUUUUUGGUCCCCUACACGCUCAAACCCCGAGCCCACCUACAGAACUGUGGGUAAUAGAACAUCGAUUUUGCCUGAAAAUGCCCCAUUUGCAUUGUUUUGCAUGUUUCACCACCCAAAUAGCCUCGCUAAACCAAACGGCUCACACUAGGUCAAUCAUUAGCUUCUCUAGCAUUCCUUGAUCGAUAUUCAAACCACGGUACGCUCGGACCCCAGGCCCAUCCACGAAACCGUGGGCUAUAGCAUAUUGAUUUUGCCCAAAAAUGCAUCGUUCGUGCUGUUUCUCGUGUUUGACCUCCCAAAUGGCCUCAGCCACCCAAAUGACCCACACUAAGUGGAUCCUCAGCCUCCCUAGCAUGCCCAGUCAAUUUUCAGCCUAUGACACGCCUGUACCCAGCCCAACCCAUAAAAUUGUGGGCUAUACCACAUUAAUUUUGCCUGAAAAUGCCCCGUUCAUGCUAUUUCUCCCAUUUGACCACCCAAAUGGCCUUGCCCACCAAAACGAUCCAGGCUAGGCCGAUCCCCAGCCUCCCUAGCAGGCCCCGAUCAAUUGUAAAUCCACGAAUCGCCCGGACCCUGAGCCCACCCACGAAACCGUGGGUUAUAGCAUACUAAUUAUGCCCAAAAAUGCAUCAUUCGCGUCGUUUCGCCCAUUUGACCACCUAAAUGGCCUCACCCACCCAAACGGCCCACACUAGGCAUCCCCAACCUCCUUGGUACUCCCCAGUCAAUUUUUGGCCCACGACGCGCCUGUCGCGCUCCAUUUUUUUCGAAAAAGGUGAGAUUCGACGUGACCACUCUUUUUGAGAUUUGUUUAAAGAGAGAUUGUGAUAAGUUGCCACCUAACAAAUUAAGGUGCAUUAGGGCACCAGUCUAGGCUAACUACGAACCUAUUUUGUUAUUUAGCUUAGUUCAUCAAAAAUUCGGGUGAGGGUUGAAAUUACCUCGAAAGGAAAAUGUUAGGCACCUUUCGAGGUCCACAAAAAUGGUUCCUGGACGAAUUCGUAUUUUACAUGGAGAUUCUAUGUGAUAAAAAAAGGUUACCUAUUUUAUUAACUUAUUAUUAAUUAUGUGAUGUAACAAAGAAAACUUUCAACUGGUGUGCAUAUCAUAAAAAAAAUACAAAGGAUACGAGACUAACCUUUUGAGACAUGCAAAUAAUGAAUGAAAAUGCCAUAAGUCUUGUAAUUUUCAUCUUCCUCGAAUCAAGGACUCUAGCAUGCUUCUUUAGUUUUAGCGUGAGGACAAAAUUGAAAGGUGAUAAACUGUAAAUUGAACUUACGUCGAAGUAAGGAGAAACUACAAAUGAUACAAAACUUGUUAGUAAUAUAUGUUUGUCACCUCAAUUUUGGUAACGAAUUAAUGUAAGAGAUUAAUAAAAGUAAAUAAAUAACUCAAUAAUACAUAGAUUAAGUAAAAAAAAAAAAAAAGAAACUGUGAAUGGGAACAUGGCAUCACAAGGCUGAAACGGGACUAAUGCGACGUUACUCCCUCUAUUCCAAUUAAUAUGUCGACUCUCUUAAACGCCUUAAGACAAGACAAAAUAAAUUCUUAAAGAAACUUAUUAAGAUUACGAAAUAAAAUGUUUUAGCAUUUAAAAGUCAUGUAAAGCAAAAAAUAUGUAGAUAUAAUAUAUAAAUUUUAUCAACGCAUGUCGCUAAAAUGUAGUAAUAAAGGUUGUCAAGUAUUUGAGACUUUUAAAAGGUGACGUAUAAAACUAGAAAUGACAGGAGUACGGAGUUUGCUUUAUUUUUAAUAAAGCUAUGUGUAUGCUUCAUACAAGAAGUUAGCUAUAGCCUGUCUUUGUCAUCAUAUCCCAAUUGUACCUGACUCCCAAUAGUGUGGUGAUUCCAUUUGAGCUGUGCUUCACGCAUUGGAUCCUUUACUUGCCAUGGUUGAACUCUAAGAGCGUCACCCCAUUAUAGUGUACAUGCAAAAAUAUUCAAAAGGAAAAGAGUAUGUCUGUUCUUAAUGUUGAAAGAAGAAAAUGAAAACUACGAUGAUAAAGUAACUCAUUCAGUUACAUGCAUUCGAUCAAACUUAUUGAAUAAGAAAUUUAUACCAACAAUAAAUAUAACGUCUAAAAAUGAGUUGAAUUAAAAUAAAUAACAUAAUAUGCUGGAACAAAAUAUCAUUAGACAAUUUCAUGUUCUCAAAAAAAAUUAAUGUACUAAAGCUAAUUUAUUUUCCAACUAGUGAAACUUUCAAGUUUCAUACCAAAUUGGCUUUACUUCCUAGUGUCUAAGCCAAACUAUUAUUAAGGGGAACUUAAUUUUGGAUUAAAACAAAGCCUGACUAAGUAUUAUAUUGUCUUUAAAUAAAAAAUAAAAAACCUUUUGUCAUGCUAGCAUACAUUAGUUAGACAAAUCAACAAAGACAAUUAAUAUUGUGAACAACAACUGUGAUUAAAAUAAAAUAUAACAAGUAUUAUAUCUUUAGAAGUACAAGAUAAACAUAGCACUACUUACAAUACAAACAUGAGAAAGUUAACAUGAUCGUCUUUAUGAUAGAAUGCCUUUAGAAUUUGUCAACCAAAAGACAAUUCGAACCAGAACCUCAAGUAUUCGACUUCGAAAAAGAACUCAAGCUCUUAUAGAAAAACAAAACAAUGUGCUUUUCACUUGUGGUGGAAACAUGGUGGCUCAUAAUGGAGGGAAAGAGAAGUAAAAGAGGUGACAAAAAUCCCCCUCUUCCCUCACCCUCUAGACUUGUCAUUAUAUCAUAGUGGUCCAAAAGAGGAGACGUUGGGGUGGGGUUUUAAAAAGGAAGAGAAUAAUAUUGAUUAGGAGUGAUUUCGGAGGAUAUUGAUGAUGGAGAGAUUUAAGAGAAUCGGGUGUCAACAGGAAGAAGAUCAAGAAACGUUGAGGGAGAGGAAGUUAAAUUAGGAAAAGAAUAAUCUUGUUAUGGAAGAACAAUAUUUCUCUCCAAAAAAAACAAAAGCUCUCUUUUUUAUUCAUAGGAAGAUUUUAAGGGAUAUGGAAUAUGGUAAAAUAAUUCAAAUUUGAAAAUGGAUAGUAUUGUAUGCAUGGUAGAUAAAUCCUAAAAGAAUGAAUUUUCAUAUUUCCAUAAAAUGAUUAAUACUAUAACAUAAAAUAGUGAUAUAAAUAAUAAUUACUCAAUUAGACAUUAAUAAUAAUAACUACAACGUCACAUAGAGAUGACAUUUUAGCUUAGCUAAGUAUACAUAGAAUGUAAAAUCAUGGACAAAAAUGAAAUGCUAGUUAAUUAAAUAAUAUAAAAAAAUACAAUUAAUUUAGAAUAAAAUUAACAAUACUUGAAACUAAAACACUCACAUUUUAGAAUGUGGGUGCAUGUAAAUAAUAAUAAUAAUAACAACAACAAUAUGCUUGCAAAAUGUGAGUGCGCAUAUUUAUGAAUAAUUUAAUAAAUAUCAACAAAAUUAUAUAAAAUAUUAUAUUUAAAUUAAUAAAUUGUAAAAAAAAUUACAAUAAAGAGUAAUUAAACAAUGUGUAUAUUUUAAAAUCAUGUAUGUGACACGUCAAUAUCUGUUUGAUGCAAGAAAAUAUGUAAAAAAUACUAAUAUUUAAAAUUAAUAAUUCUACUAAAAUAGCAGCCUAAAAGGAGCAUUGAAAGGUCAAAAUUAGAUGUCAACAAUGCACGAAUUCCGAGCCCACCUAUGGCACCAUGGGCUAUAGCACACCAAUUUUGUCAGAAAAUUCUCGUUUGCGCCGUUUCUCCCGUUUGACCACCCAAAUGGCCCUGCCCACCCAAACGGCCCACACUAGGCUGAUCCCCAUCCACCCAAGCACGUACCGGUCGAUAUUCGGCCCGCAGCACGCCCAGACCCUGGGCACAACCACGGAACCGUGGCCUAUAACACACCAAUUUUGCCCUAAAAUGCCCCGUUCGCACCAUUUUUCCCAUUUAAUCACCCAAAUGGCCCGCCCACCUAAACGGGCCACACUAGGCCUAUUUUCAGCUUCCUUGGCACGCCCUGGUUGAUUUUUAACCACCGACACUCUUGGAAUUGGGGCCCACCUAUGGGACCGUGCACUACAGGACAAUGAUUUUGCCUGACUACGAUCCGUUCGCGCUGUUUUACCAGUUUGACCACCAAAAUUGCCCCGCCCACCCAAAAGACCCAUACUAGGAUGAUCCCCAGCCUCCCUCGCAUGUCCUGAUCAAUUUUGACCCACAACACGCCCGCACGCUGGGCACAUCCAUGAAACUAUGGGCUAUAACACACCAAUUUUGCUCUAAAAUGCCUCGUUCGCACCGUUGCGCCCAUUUAAUUACCCAAAUGGCCCCGCCCACCUAAACGUCCCACACUAGGCCUAUUCCUAGCUUCCCUGGCAUGCCCUGGUUGAUUUUUGACCCAAGAAACUCCUGGACCUGGGACCAUCCUACGGAACCUUGGGCUAUAGCACAACGAUUUUUCUUAAAAAUGCCCCGUUCGCACCGUUUUGACUGUUUGACCACCUAAAUGGCUCCGCCCACAUAAACGGCCCACACUAGGUCGAUCCCCAACCUUCUUGGCAUGCCCCGAUUAAUUUUUGUCCCACGGUACGCCCAGACCCCGGGCCCACCCAUAGAACCGUAGGCUAUAACAUACUAAAUUUUCUAAAAAAUGCCUCGUUCACAUUGUUUUACCUAUUUGACCACCCAAAUAGGCCCGCCCACCCAAAUGACCCAUACUAAGCCGAUACUAGGCCGAUACCUAGACUUCUUGGCAUGCCUCAAUAUAUUUUUGGCUCACAGCAUGCCCGAACUUGGGGUCCACCCAAACUUUGGGUGGUCAAACGGGCAAAACGAUGUGAACAGAGCAUUUUUGAGCCAAAUUGGUGUGCUAUAGCCCACAGUUCAAGGGGUAGGCCCGGGGUCCUGGUGUGCUGUGGGCCAAAAAUCGACCGAAUCGUGUUAGGGAGGCUGGGGAGCGUCCUAGUGUUGUCCGUUUUAGAGGACGGGGCCAUUAAGGUGGUCAAAUAGGCAAAAUGGUGCGAGCGGGGUAUUUUCGGGCAAAUUUGGUGUGCUAUAGCCCAUGGUUCUAGGGGUGGUCCCAGGAUCCGGAUGUGCUAUGGGCUAAAAAUCGAUUGGGUUGUGCCAGGGAGGCUAAGGAGCAUCCUAGUAUGGUUAUUUUUGGUGGGCAGGGCCAUUUAGGUGGUCAAACAAGCAAAACAACAUGAUCGAAGAAUUUUUGGGCCAAAUCGAUGUGUUAUAGCCCGCGAUUUUAGGGUAGGCCCGAGGUCCUAGCGUACUGUGGGCCGAAGAUCAAUCGGGUCAUGCCAUAAAGGCUAGGGAGCAUCCUAGUAUGGUCCGUUUUGGUGGGCGGGGCCAUUUGGGUAACAAACGGGCAAAACGGUGCGAAUAGGGCAUUUUUGGGCCAAAUCUGUAUGCUAUAGCCUACGAUUUUGGGGGUGGGCCUAGGGUCAGGGCGUGCUGUAGGCCAAAAAUUGACUCGGUCGUGCCAGGGAGGCUGGGGAGCAUCUAGUGUGGUCCGUUUUGGUGGGCGAGGCCAUUUGGGAGGUCAAACAGCGCGAACAAGACAUUUUAGAUCAAAAUCGGUGUGCUAUAGCCCACGUUUUUGGGGGGUGGGACAGGGGUCCGGGCGUGCUGUGGGUUGAAAAUUGAUUGGGUCAUGCCAAUAAUGUCGGGGAGCAUCCUAGUGUGGUUCGUUUUGGUGGGCGGGUCCAUUUGGGUGGUCAAACGGGCGAAACAGCGCGAACGAGGCAUUUUUGGGCCAAAUCAUUGUGCUAUAUAACUAAUGGUUUCGGGGGUUGGCCCGAGGUCCGGGCGUGUUGUGGGCGAAAAAUCAAACCGGGUCGUGUUAGGAAGGCUGGGGAGCAUUUUAUUGUGGUCCGUUUUGAUGGGUUGGGCCAUUUGGGUAGUUAAAAGGGCAAAAUGGCGCGAACAGGACAUUUUUCUGGCCAAAUUGAUAUGUAAUAACCCAUGGUUCCAAGUGUGGGCCUGGGCGUGCUGUGGGAUAAAAAUUGAUCGGGUCAUGCCAGGAAGGCUGGAGAGCGUCCUAGUAUGGUCCGUUUUGGUAGGCGGCGCCAUUUGGGCAGUCAAACGAGUAAAACGGCACAAACGGUCAUUUUUCAGCCAAAUCAAUGUGCUAUUGCCCACGGUUUCGCGGGUGGACCCGGAGUCUAGGCAUGCUGUGGGUUGAAAAUCGAUCGGGUCAUGCCAGAAAGAUUGGGCAGUGUCCUAGUGUGGUUUGUUUUGGUGGGCGGGUCCAUUUGGGUGAUCAAAUCCGCAAAAUAGACGAACGGGGCAUUUUUGGGCCAAAUCGGUAUGCUGUAGACUACGGUUCUGGGGGUGGGCCCAGGAUCCAGGCGUAUUGUGGGUCAAAAAUUGAUCGGGUCAUGCCAGAAAGGCUGGUGAGCGUCCUGGUGUGGUCCAUUUUAGUGGAAAGGGCUAUUUGGGUGGUUAAACGGGCGAAACAGCGCAAACAACGCAUUUUUGAGCAAAAUUUUUGUGCUAUAACACACGUUUUUGAGGGUGGGCCCGGGGUUCGAGCAUGCUGUGGGUCAAAAUCUAUCGGGUUACGUUAGCGAGGUUGGAGAGCGUCCUAAUGUGUUCCGUUUUGGUAGGCGGGGCAAUUUGGGUGGUCAAACAGGCAAAAUUGUGCGAACGGAGCAUUUAUAGGCCAAAAUUGGUAUGCUAUAGCCUAUGAUUCCAAGGGUGGGCUCGAGGUUCGGGCGUGGUGUGGGUCAAAAAUUGAUCGGGUCAUGCCAAGGAGGUUGGAAAGUGUCUUAGUGUGGUCCGUUUUAGUGGGCGGGGCCAUUUAGGUGGUCAAACAGACAAAACGAUAUGAAUGGGGCAUUUUUGGGUCAAAUCGGUGUGCUAUAGCCCACUGUUCUAGGGGUGGACCUGGGGUCCGAGUGUGCUGUCGGUUGAAAACUGAUCGGGUUGUCCUAAAGAGGCUAGAGAGCAUCCUAGUGUGGUCCAUUUUAGUGGGCGAGGCUAUUUGGGUGGUCAAACGGGCGAAACGACACGAGUGGGAUAUUUUAAGACCAAAUCGGUGUGCUAUAGCCCACGGUUCCACGGGUGGGCUAGGGGUCCGGAAGUGUUGUGGGCCAAAAAUCGAGUGGGUCAUGCUAGUGAGGCUGGGCAACGUCCUAGUGUGGUGCAUCGUGGUGGACGAGGCCAUUUGGGUCGUCAAACGAGCGAAACGGGGCAUUUUCGGGCUAAAUCGGUGUGCUAUAGCCCAUGAUUCCUGGGGUAGGCCUGGGAUCCAUGCGUGUUGUGGUCCAAAAAUCGACCGGGCCAUGCCAGGGAGGCUGGAGAGCGUCCUGGUGUGGUCCGUUUUGGUAGGCAGGGCUAUUUGGGUGGUUAAACGGGCGAAACAGCGCAAACGAGGCAUUUUCAAGUAAAAUUGGUGUGCUAUAGCCCACGAUUUUAGGGGUGGGCCCAGUUCCUGGCAUGCUAUUGGCCUAAAAUCGAUCGGGUCGUGUAGGGUUAUGCUAGGGAGGCUGGGAGUGUCCUAGUGUGGUCCGUUUUGGUGGUCGGGGCCAUUUGGGUGGUCAAACGGGCGAAAUGACGCGAACAAAACAUUAUUGGGCCAAAUUGGUGUGCUAUAGACCACGGUUCUGGGGGUGGGCUCGGGGUACGGGUGUGCUGUAGGCCAAAAAUCUACCAGGUAGUGCCAAGGAGGUUGGAGAGCGUCCUAGUGUGGUUCGUUUUGGUGGGCAGGGCCAUUUGGGUGGUCAAACAGGCAAAACAGCGGGUACGUGGCAUUUUCGUGCCAAAUCGGUGUGAUAUAGCCCAUUGUUCAGGGGUGGGCUAGGGGUCCGGGCGUGCUGUGGGCUGAAAAUUGAUCGGGUCGUGCCAGGGAGGCUGAGAGCGUUCUAGUGUGGUUCGUUUUGGUGGGCGGGUCCAUUUAGGUGGUAAACGGGCAAAACAACACGAACGGGAUAUUUUCGAGCUAAAUCGAUGUGCUUUAGCCCACGAUUCCGGUGUGUGCUUGGGGUCCGGACGUGCUGUGGGCCAAAAAUCGAUCGGGUCAUGUCAGGGAGGCUAGAGAGCAUCCCAGUGUGGUCCGUUUUAUUAGGUGGGGCCAUUUGGGUUGUCAAACGGGCGAAACAAUGCGAACGACGUAUUUGUGGACCAAAUCAGUGUGCUAUAACCCACGGUUCCGGGGGUGGGCCCAGGGUUCGGGUGUGCUGUGGGCCGAAAAUUGAUCGGGUUAUGCCAGGGAGGCUGAGGAGUGUCCUAGUAUGGUCCGUUUUGGUUGGCGGGGCCAUUUGGGUGGUCAAACGGGCGAAAUGGUGAGAACAGGGCAUUUUUGGGCGAAAUCGAUGUGCUAUAGCCCCGGUUCCGACGGUGGGCCCAGGGUUCGGGUGUGCUGUGGGCCGAAAAUUGAUCGGGUUAUGCUAGGGAGGCUGGGAGUGUCCUAGUGUGGUCCGUUUUGGUUGGCGGGGCCAUUUGGGUGGUCAAACGGGCGUAAUGGUGAGAACAGGGCAUUUUUGGGCGAAAUUGAUGUGCUAUAGCCCCGGUUCCGACGGUGGGCCCGGGCGUUCUUUGGGCCGAAAAUCGACUGGGUCAUGCCAGGGAGGUUGGGGAGCGUCCUAGUGUGGUCCAUUUUGGUGGGCGGGGCCAUUUGGGUGGUUAAACGGGUGAAACGGCACGUACGGGGCGUUUUUGGGCCAAAUCGGUGUGAUAUAACCCAUGGUUCUGAGGGUGGGCCCGAUGUCAAGGCGUGCUGUGGGCUGAAAAUCGAUCGGGUUAUGCCAUGGAGGCUGGGGUACUUAAGAGUGUGACCUAAAGGUUGCUUGAAUGACAAGUAAUGGAGAAGCAAUAGUGAAAACUAGCUCACGGCAAAAUGCAAACAUGUUUUGGUACCCAAAAAUGUGACUUAACGAUCAAUAAAUUGAGUGAAAAACAUGAGAAACAAGGAUUCAAAUCCUUAAAGAAAAUGCUAAUGUCAUCUAUCUAAGCAUUAGUUGGCAAAAUUCUCAGUAUGGUGUGUACGUAGUACUUAUUCUUACCUUGUGAAGGUAGAGCGGUUGUUUCCGAUAGACCCUAGACUUAAGUAAAAGCGCCAAAACUGCCCUAAGCAAGGGCGGAGCCACCUUUCAUCCAGGGGGUUCAUCCAAACCCAAUCCGGACUCCACCACUGGCUCCAAGUAGGAAAGCCCAAACAAAUGUACACAUUAAACUCCACUUUUAUAAGAGCUGGCAUCAAACUUUACAUUUACGGUCUGUUUCAAAAUUAGCACAACACCCCAGGAACCAACUGCUGUAACACAAGUUAUCUCAUUCUUUUCCUCCUAAGAUCUUGCAAUAAAAGAAAAUUCAAAUAACUAAAUUGUAAAAAAGUGCCAAUAAGCAGUGGUAACAAAGGGAAGCUAUGUCGUUUGGGCUAUCUAAAAAUGCCAUCGUACCCGUGUCAAAUCUUCCAAAAAUACGCUACUUUUAAAUGAUUCGACACGUACCCAAGAAGGGAAGUUACAAGUAAGUAUCAGUUAAGUCAAAUUCCCGACUGGUUUUGCACAUCUAAGAUUGUGUUAGCAGAGUUCCUAAGUUGUUGAAUUUCCUAAUUAGUAAGAUGCACAUUAGUCACACCCAAAACUCCACUUUUACCAAGCUGUGCAGGCAAGCUCAAGAACACUUCGUCGCCAUCAAUACCAUAGAACCCCUUUGCGAGGACUGAGACAGGGUGAAUCUUCCUCUGAUCUGGAAUGAUCGAAAAAGCCAAGUUAGCCACAGAGUACCCCAAUCGCCCACGACGUGUAGCCUUUGAGAUUGAUCACUUUAUAUGCACUCUGCACAACUUGUUUAUGGAUGUUUUCCAAUGUCUCCUUCUCAAUAGAAAUUUGUUACCUCUCCAAAAAGCUAAGAAGCGGAAUCCCUCCAAAAAGCUAAGAAGCGGAAUCCCUCCAACGCUAAUACUAGACCACAGUACCACAGAGCUGUCACCAUGCUCACCAACAAUAUACGCGUAGUAUAGACAUGAAAAGAAACGUUCACUUUUUGACCAGGUAAAUAAUUUCAUUAAAUGGAAAGUUUUCCUGUGAGCCAAAAAGUAGAGAAUCAACAAGAUAGUAUGAUUCUCUAUUAACGGCCAACAAUUUUCCAAGUUCCAUACUAACUGAAACCUCACGGGCGUACCAUAAAGACAUCAAAUGUACUUCAUAAGACAUCAAAAACCAAUGAUAAGACAAAUUAUAAAGGCUGCCUCAAAUCUUAAAUGUAUAAGCAACAAAUGGGGUUGAAUACCAGUAUAUAGCUUCAAAUAUACUCAAUAAGUUGCAACCAAGUAUUGAGGAUUUGGACUUUACGCUAGAUUCAAGGAUAAUGAUGUCAAAUGUUAGUAACUAGGUUCUAAAUUCAAAUAACUUGAUGGGCGCGUGUCAGACACGGAUACGGCAACAUUUUUGGAGAGUUCGAGCAACAUACUUUAACUUCCCCUUUUCAUGAUUCCCACAAAUUCCGACAGCACUGCAGAUUAGCUUUUGUUGGCCAUCACUGUCAAAAUCAACAGAAAAACUCCAAUCCAUUUUUUUGUGUAAUUUGCAAGUUCAAUUCAUUAACAAUUAUCCUACAACUAAUUAGCUUACUGUCUAUGGUUGGGAACAACAAUUCAAAUGCUGAGAGACCAACAACAUAAUGACAAACAUUGUACUUUAAACUUCUUUUGAGCCAGUGGUCUACCGAAAACUGGCUCUCUACCCCUACCUUACCUCCUUGGAUUCACCUGUGGGAUUACACUGGAUAUGUUGUUGUACGUUCAUAUCUUUUUAUACUAAGCAAAUCAAACUAUGUUCUAUAUUUGACUAGAAAACUAAUCACGUUAAUCCUUUUACCCCAUAACUUAUUCAUGUGCCUCAUGCUUACUACACCACUGUUUAAUUUAGUCCAGCAGAGAAAGGGAGAGUAAAUUUCAUGCAUGGUGAUUCAACUUUGACUGAGUUUUAAUUGAAUCCGUGUUUUGCUGCAACAUCAAGAUUUAUUUUUUAUGCUCGAAAAAGUAAGUAAAAUUAUAAAAUUUUGAACUUAAAUAGCAGAAUUUACCCAUCUAAAUCUUUCAUAUUGGUUUCUCAUGCAUAAAUUCAGUAUAAUAAAUAAAUGAAGUGUCUCUGAUGUAGUACUAUAGUAAUUGAAGAGCAAAUUGUAGAAAGCCUAUUGGUAUUUCUAGUAUUCUCCUGCAAAUCUCAAAGGGUUGCUCAUUUUAGGCAAGAUCUCCAUUGUUUCCUUUCGGUGGAAUUGUUGUGGAUAUGGAGGCCCAUAGAAUCCUUGUGGUUGAGGUGGAAGCAGCCAAUAGUAUGAAUUAGGAAUAUUCUGGUUGUAGUAAGGAGGUGGUUUUGGAUGAUUUGGGGGCAUGUUGGUGUUGGAGGUUGAUGCAGUAGGAUGCCGGUGAUUUGGCUGUGGAUAUGGCGGUGGUGGCUGCGGAUAUGGCGGAGGAGGAAGAGGUGGAGGCUGCCAAUAGUAUGAAUUAGGAAUAUUCUAGUUGUAGUAAGGAGGUGGUGGCCAAUAUUGAGGGUAUCAUAUGGUGGAGGAUACAUGUGUUGCAUAUCAUACUUUAUGGUUGAUCAGUAUUGUAUGAAGGUAUUAGCUGAGAUUGACCUCCUUGCUGUGGCCACCAGUAGUGAUGUUUUGUGUAAUUAGUAGGAGCUGACAGAAUAGGUACUUCCGUUUUUUUGUUCUGCAAUAAGUUAGAGUUUAGUUAGUAGUUGAUUUUAAGUUUGCACUAUUCCAUUCUCAAUCAUUAGGGAACCAUACCUCUUGAGUUUGGCAAUCUCUUCUUCUGCUUUUUGAAGUUGCCUUUUCAGCGUUGUAUUUUCCUUGUCCAUCUUCUUCAAUUUUUCAACCUUUGCGGAAAUUUGCUUAUCUAGCUCUCUAAUGUGUGCCAUUUUAUCCUCCAAUUGCUUCACUUUUAUUGUUUGUAUCUGAGAAAAGUCCCUCUUUCGACAGUCCAUCGCACAUAUUUCUAUGUUAACCUCUUUGCAUAUGCCAUAUCUGUUAUUUUCUAUUGACCCUGUUGCUUGAACAACUGCAAUUUCUCUCUUCUCAACUGCAUGAGUUGAAAAGGUUCAAGUUAUCAUGUCAAGGCAAUCGAUUAAUUACGUCCGAUUAAUGUCAAAUUUCAUGGAAGUUUCCUUCUUUUAUCAAAAUUUCAAAUCUUGGAUUCAUGUAGAUCAUAAAUUUAUACCUAGUUUUGCUGCAUUAUUGCUUCCAUCUUCAUUUGGUUGUUGUAGGAGAUCCAUCGCUAUUUCUCUCUUCUCAACUGCAUGAAUUGUAAAGGUUCAAGUUGUCAAGCCAAUAGCAUGAAUAAUUACUUCAGUUUACCGUCAAUAUUUAGAUGUUAUCUAAUUUUGGAGAGAUCAAACUUUCUGUAUAAACAAAGCCAUCUAUUGUCCUCUUCAAAUCACUAAUAUCAUUCAAAUGUAGAGGCCACGUUCGAUUGCUUGAUCCAUUGGAUGUCUUGUAUAUACUUCCUUUCAAACCAUAGCAGCUAAGUAGCACUUCAUCAUUUGAAAAUCUAUAUAUUGGUGCCAUAAUACCUUCCCCAUGACUUUGUAUGCUGAACAAUUUUGUCCAAGAUUCUUUCAUGCCAUAAUCUUUCAUGACCCAUAAAUUGAAAUUUAUUUCGUCAUCAUGAUGAUAAUAUACUCUUCUUCCCACUGCUGACACUCUCUUUUCUUCGAUUCUAUUGGAAUACGGUGUCACUGGCAAUGGUAUCUCUCCGUAUAUCUCAUUCCAAAUGUUAAAUGAAACCACACAAUCCUUUUCCCUGCUGAGCCAAUGAAAUGCUCCCUCUACAAAUGACAAACAUAAUUUCAUUGGACACGUCCAAUGAACGCCAUUUAUCCCCCCUGCGUAUUCGCCAAUUUUCCUCCAAGAACCACUUUUAAGUGCCAAAAUUUCAUCGGGUACAUUUUUGUUCCAGUCAAUCCUAAUGAUUUUAUAGUCAUCACUAGUAGGGUCGUAUCCUAUUCCAUAAAGAUGUUGCUUUGGUGACGAUUGAGGAUAUUGAGUGGGAAGUUUCACCGACUCUCCUGUGGAUGGAUUCCAUAGCAAUAAUAAGGAAGGGUGUCUGCCCUCAUCAAGUUCCCUCCAAAUCCCGAUGAAAAACAAACCAUCACAACAACAAUAGACUCUACCCCAUUUUGGUUCAAAGCUUGUAGGGGUAUCAAGUCUGCGUAUAUCCUUAAUAAGUUGUGGGGCGGAGUUGGAUAAAGAAAAUGAAUAGACUUAAAAGUGGUACUCAUGUGAAAGCAUUCGUAUUGAUCAAUAAGGAAUUUUUUGGGGGAAUUGUGGUGGUUGACAUGAGUAUUGAGAUGCAUUUUCUUAAAAUCUCCAAACCCCGAUGAAAAACAAACCAUCACAACAACAAUAGACUCUACCCCAUUUUGGUUCAAAGCUUGUAGGGGUAUCAAGUCUGCGUAUAUCCUUAAUAAGUUGUGGGGCGGAGUUGGAUAAAGAAAAUGAAUAGACGUUAAAAGUGGUACUCAUGUGAAAGCAUUCGUAUUGAUCAAUAAGGAAUUUUUUGGAGGAAUUGUGGUGGUUGACAUGAGUAUUGAGAUGCAUUUUCUUAAAAUAAGGUUGGGAGAUUAUGUUAUUCCAAAAUUUUGAAACACACUUGAAUCGAGGAAGAGACUUCACAGAUAGUCUAUUGAGAAUGUCCAUGACUAUUUCUUCAUGACUUUUCAUUCUAACUAGAAUAAGAAAAAUAGAGAAUUAGAUAAUUAGAUAAAACAAAUUGCUUUGUAGAUGAUCCCUUUAGAAGCAAACGAAAUAAGGUUUGUAUUUAUAGGUUUUUCAAACUACAUAAAUUCCUAAAUUUGGUUCCUAAUAGAAUAAGGAUAACCAAUUAAUGAAUGCUUUCAUGUCAUUGGCCAAUUGUACUUAAUUACAACAAACAUAUUGGCGGAUGACUAUUGACUAGGCUCAACAAACCAAUACCAUAAUUAUGACGUGUAAAAUCAUAAUUCUUUGUCUAAUCAUCAAAAUUACGUGGCACUUCUUUUUUGAGCUUUUCUUCUUAUCUAUUAAGAACUACUUGUAUGAACUUUGAAGAUAGUUUAAUUAAAUUAUUCUUAUUUAGUACUUUGACUAUAUUAAUACCUUAUAGAUAAAAAUAAAUAUCUAAUUGUGUUUUAAUUUUUUUAAAAAAGGCAAGUAUCAUAAAAUACUCCUACUAUUCAUUAUUAUAGUACUUUGACUAUAUUAAUUCCUUAUAGAUAAAAAUAAAUAUCUAAUUAUGUUUUGAUUUUUUUAAAAAGGCAAGUAUCAUAAAAUACUCCUACUAUUCAUUAUUAUAUAUUGCUUUUCCUUUUUUAGCGUCAAAAGAUACAAAUAUCAAUAUUUUGAGAUAUAUAUUUUAACCAUAUUAAAUAAAAUGCAACAUAAAGUAUUUAGUCAUAUAUAUUUUGAAUAUUUAAAUUUAAUUUAAUUUAAUUUUUAAAAUAAGUUAAAUCCACCCAAGCAAAACAAAACAUACAUGUAAAAAGGGAAAGAAUAAACGAAAUCUAUUUUUAAUAAGUACGAUAAGUAUUUUGAGGCGAAGACAGUACGUGUAAUUUACUGAGGGCUGCGCGUGUACAUGUGGAAACAGAUAUUGGGUCCUUAGUUUGUCCUAAAUUUGCCUGGCCAUGUUCCAGUUUUUCAAGGGACAAAUAAUAUAAAUUUGAAUAGUUUGGAGUUUAAUUUAAAAAAAAAAUUAAUAGUUUAAAAUUUAAUUACAGGAUAGUUCAAUAGUUUAUAGUUUGAUUAUAAAAAAUAUUGAUAUUUGCAUAAUUAUUGAAAUUUUAAUUUUGAAUAUGUUGAAAUACAUUAUUAACUCCUGAUAUAUCUAACAAAAAUAUAUUUUUUUUUUACAAAGAUACAUAAUUAUCUCUCGGUAUAUUUUUUUGAUUUUGAAUUUAUCAAGAUAUAUAAUUAGUUCUCAUACAUUCAAUGAAGAUGUAUAAUUAGUUGAGAAUUUUAUAAUUACUUUAUAACGAUAAAGAUUUGUGUAAAUAUAAUAAGUUAAAUGUACGUUUAUAUAUUUUUCCUAAAAUUAAAACAAAGAAAAAAUUUUGUGGAGUAAAAAACAUCAAAGAAUAUUUAUAAUAAUUACCAUUUUUAAUAGCAAAAGAAUAAAUUUUCUUCUCCACGUUAAUCCAGUCACCUUUGAUGUCAAAUGUUGUAGAAUGGAUAAUCUCUUUCAACAAUAUCAAAGUGAGUAAAAUUUGGAGAAAGAGUAACUGCCGCAAUCGGCACUUGGUCGAGCCAAUUAUCUAAAAAAUGGCUUUUAUCUCAUUCAAUCGGCAUUUUUUUUCCAAUUCGGUAGGUAAUGUUCAUUUUUCUUUAGCCAAAAGAGUGAUGAAAAAUAAACGAUUAGAAGAUCAAAAUAACGUAAUAAGGUGGAUGUGAAUGUCAAUUUCAACAUUUGAAAGCCAAUUUUCUAAAAUGAGGUUAGAUAGCAUAGGCGAACAAUAUAAAAUUUAAAAGUGUUUACAUUUAAACUUAAGACAAACUAGGCUUGGUGGUCUUGCAUUAAACUCUACAAACGUGCUCUUUUACCUCAACUACAAGGGUUCAAACCUAGAGGGGCGCAUUGAGACAUUUUGUUCACUAAUAUUUUCACUUAAUUUUGAUACUUUCUUAUAUGGAAAAAUUACGAAUAGAAGAAAAAACAGAAAUUUAAAAUAUCAUCAAAUACUAAUUUUAGGGUCAAAUCGGUGUGCUACCAACGGCUUCGUGGGUGGGCCGGGAGUCCGACAAUGUUGUGGGGCAAAAAUCGGGCAGAUCGUGCCAUGAAAGCUGGGGAGCAUCCUAGUGUGGUCCGUUUUGGUGGGCGAGGCCAUUUUGGGUCGUCAAACGAUGUGAACGGGGCAAUUUUGGGUUAAAUUGGUAUGUUAUAGCCGAUGGUUUCGAGAGUGAGCCCGGGGUCCGGGCGUGCUGUGGGCCGAAAAUUGAUUGGGUAGUGCUAGGGAGGCUGGGGAGUGUCCUAGUGUGGUACGUUUUGGUGGGCGGGGCCAUUUGGAUGGUCAAAUGAGCAAAACAGCGUGAAUGGGGCAUUUUUGAGCCAAAUCGAUGUGCUAUAGCUCGCGGUUCCUGGGGUGGGCUCGGGGUAUGGGCGUGCUGUGGGCUCAAAAUCGAUCGGGUCGUGUCGAAGAGCAUCCCAAUGUGGUCAUUUUGGUGGGCGAGGCCAUUUGGGUGGUCAAACGGGCGAAAUGACGCGAACUGGGCAUUUUCUGGCCAAAUUGGUGUGUUAUAGCCCACAUUCUAGGGAUAGGCCUGGGGUUCGGGUGUGCUGUGGGCUGAAAGUCAAUCGGGUUCUGCCAGG